rnacentral:lncRNA from 1 species
UUUUUUUUUUUUUUUUUUUUUUGGGUAGGGAUGCCAUCCCCUAAUUUAUUUAUAUCGAAAAAAGAAAUACAGCGAAUUAGAGGGGACCAAACCUGACCUCUGUUGAAGUAAAAAAGAAAGACAGUUAUGGAUCAAACAUAUAAAAGAACCAAUAUGAUUCAAACACAUAACAGAUCAAUCGAACGAAAUCAUCCACAUGAGGGUGCCCCACAUUUGUGGGAUUGUGAGCGAGCAUGGAAAUUUGGUUUAACAUCUUGACGUGUUUGCAUUGUUUUACCUUUUUUUGAGAUUUGCUUCCUCGUUUUCUUUGAUAUCACUUGGGUAAAUUGCUCGAGAACUAGUUUCUGGUCAUGAUAUUUGUCGUUAUCAUGUUGUGAAUCAUCCUUUCUCUCUUCAUUUUUGUUAUCAUUGUAUUUUGUACUUGAAUGAAGAAAAGGUUUUAGAUGAACGAGAGGAAUCUUACCAUGUAAUUUCUCCCAUUGAAACUCUUCGAACACAUCUUUAAACUGUGGCACAUCUUCAAACCGGGACUUUUCCGUUUCUGUUCUUGUACUUGUCCCCAUAAGGGGUGUGUCUCCAACUAAUACCACAUUAUGUGGAUCAUGACUUUUGUCUACCUUCUCAAGUGCAUCGUUUCCCACUUUAGACAUAAUUUGCUUACGUUGCUGUGAAGAGUCGCUAGUAUCCAUCGCCUUCUCUUUCGAUGCAGCCUUUGUGAAUGUUCUAUUAGCUGGUGAAUGGCCAUCCUCAGACUCCGAAUCAGUGAAUUCCCCCUCAUCAAGUUGGUUCGUAGCUUGGGGCUUUACCGAACGCAUCUCUUCAGUUUCCCGAAACACUUGAUCAGCCAACUUAUGAAUGAUUUCACCUGCGGUAGAAACAAUGGUCUCCUCUACUAACGCAGCGACAGACAACCGAGGCUGCUGGGGUUGGGGCGAGGGGGGCGCCGCUGUAUGCUCAACCCGUAACUCGCCCUCUUCCUGCGCGCUUUCUUCCUCUAAGGCAUUACCCCCAGGUCGCUGCACCUCCGGCGUCAGAGUAAGAGCCCCAGGCCUCUCCGUGGAAGUCACCGCAUCUCCCAUAGUUAUCUUGUCCGACACCUCACUGCCGUUUGUCUCCUCGAUAGCUGCUGUCGUACCCUCCUUGUUGCUCGUAGCAGUGGGUUUCAGCCCAUGAGUUCCGGCCCCCUUUGCUGGUUUGAGCGCAGGGUUCUUCCUAAAGCAUUCCGCUUCCGCGUGGCCGGCGCGCUGGCAAAAGGAACAGAAUGCAGGCCAGCUCUCGUAGUCGACUUGCUACCAGUGCCCAUAGGUGUCGUCUCCUAUCCAUAUACGCUUAACAGGUUCCAUGGCCAAAUCUACUUCAACCAGAACCCGAGCCACCGACGGCCGCUUGAAGGAGGAAGUCGCGGAAUCUGCUUGCAAGGGGCGACCCAACAGCGACCCCAGUUUCAUCAGGUACUUCAUAGUGAAGAGUGGUAAGAGAAGGCCCGGGAAGCAGACCCAUACAGGUGCUAUGGAGGAGUCUUUGUUGGACUUGAAAUCUAGCGUCCAUUUAGAAACAGUCAUUGGAGAGUUGUGAAUGAACCAGGUCCGCCGCACAAAGAGCCGUGUGUAGUCCUCCUCUGUUGAAGGUUGAAUCAGCACGUGGUUCGCAUCCAAUAAUCCCACCGAGCACUCCCCUUCAGACCAAGGGUCACAAAGAACUUCCUAAUCAUCUCCAUGGAUGGGCGGCGCAGGGCAAAACGCCCCACCAGUGCGUUCUUGAAAGGCUCCGCCAGCAACGACAGUUCGCUUCUGGACAGGAGCAGCGCCGGCUCGCCGCGAUAUGCACCCAGCCCACCUAGGUCUGGGCCCGUCAACGCGCUGCAUGGGUUCCCCACCACUGCGGCAAAGGAUUUUGCCGGCACGGUGCCCGUGCUGGCACCAAUGUUCGGCGGCCAAGCGGCCGCCAUGGCAGACUACCCUAGAAACUUUCGGGAUAGAUAACAAGAUAAAGUGUAGAUAUGAAGGAUUGCCGGCUGACUUUGGGACUUGAAAUAGAUGAGGAACUAAAACUUGACAAAGUAAAUUUUAGGGGCUCCCUAAGUAGUUUAGUGUUUACUUUUAAAACAUAACUCUUUUUUAAUAGAGUCUUAAACAAAUCAUAAAUCACACCGGUCCAAAAUUUUUCUGAAAUUGAAAUUGAUUUUCAUGGUUACCAAUUUCUAGUCUCAGUGCCCUUGGUUCUACCUAUAUGGUCAGUAUGUAAACCAGCACAAUUUAUACAAAAAGGACAAGCUAGAUUCUUUCCUGUAGUUGUCAGUGUUGCCUAGUUUGUGAUUUAGAAGACCAAUAAUAUUUGCUUGAUAUUUAGGCUUUUCCAUUAGAGAUGGCCAAUAAUGUCCAUUAAAGUAUGUAACUCAAACUUCAUCAGACUUGAUGCAACUUCAGAUAUCAAUACAUUCCAAACUUAAAUCAGAAAUAAUAUGCCUUUUUUGUAUCAAGACUUCUUCAGUUCAAGUUGGCACUGGUUAGAAAUAGAAUUCCUCCCAGGCCAGAAACUUGAGUAUGAUGAAUCACCGUUGUGUAGCUUUAGAAACUUGAGAUUAGUUUGUUUGAUUGGUUUACAAGAUCACUGCAUAUAUGUAUCAGCUGUUAAUCAGCCAAGCUUCAGUUGAGUACAGAUCAAUUUGAUCGCGAGCUUCAGGCUAAAAAGCCUAGUUUUCUGACUAGGCAAAAGGGAAAACAGGACAAGAAAAUUUCAGUUGUAAGAAAGUUCUUGAGAAGGCAUAAUCAGAAAGCGAAUUUCACUCCCAAACAGGACCAUGAUUUUGGGCACAUUUGCAUAUAAAUAAGUCAUCCGACAAUACUUUAUGGAAACAUCAAUCAACAACAAUAUCAGUAACUAGAAACAACUCCCAAAUCAAAAUGCAGUUAUUUGCAAAGUAAACAAACCAAUCUGUAUCAUUUGUCGAUAUUUAUAACCAAAAAAAAUAAAGAAAGAAGAAGAAAAAGACAAGGAAACCCUUUUAAGCUUUUCUUGAGCACAACUUGGAAACAUCUCAGGCUUGUAUAUAUCUCAUUCAGAGCUCAGGGACCAUCUGAUGGCCUCCAAUAUAUAUAAAAACCAAGCAUUAGCCACGAAUCAUUUAUCCCUGCAAAGUAUGCAUGGAAAAAAUUAACACUUCCCAAUUAGACAUUGAGAUUCAAUGGAACUUGUUAAAGAAAAAGAAAAAGAAAAGGACGUGCUUUUGAAUUACACUAGUACUUGGCUUAAUACUAGUAUGAAGAAUUCUAGUCUUCCGUCAAUAAAUGGUAAUGAAGCUCAACAAAAAAGUCGAAAAGUGAAGAGAUCGCCUGAUAUAUAUACCUAACACUGCAUCAACAACGCUGAAAAGUAAUUGAAGCAAUGUGUUUGAUUUUAUCAAAAUCCUUGCCUUCUCGACCAUCUAUAACUUUAAUUCUAUCAACAAAAUACGAGGCAUGCCAAAAAUAAUCACUUCUUUGAGGCUUGCAACAUCUUCCAAUCCUUCUGGAAUCAUUUCCAACAUUUGGCAUCUAGAAAUCUGUAGAGAAGAAAGAUUAGGCAUUGCACCUUUCUCCACUCUCCAGCUACGUAAACUGAACAAGUCAGAAAUUCUGAGAUGUCGAAGUUGAGGAAAGCCCCAUUCAUGACAGAUAAAAUGUUUUCCUCUGCAAGACUCAAUAUCAAAUGCGAGAUAUUGUAAUUGAGGAAGUUUUUCUAGUGAUUCCAUUGGAUCUUCAUCAAUUCGAGUAUACUCUAAUGCCGACUUGACCAAGCCUGGGUGGAGCUGCUAUUCAUAUCGGGGAAACUUGCUUAAAUGAUGUAGGUUUUCGAAUGCCAACAGACUUCUCAGGAGGAUAGACCCCUGUUCUGACUCAAUGGAUAAAACGCCACUCAGGGUAAGUGAUAUCUCCGGCAAAUUUUUCCCACUUAUGUUCAUGUAGUUCAUGAUAGCGCAAAGGCCCUCAUUAUUAGUAACAGCCACAUCAAGUACUCGAAGAUUCGGUAGUUCAUAAAGAUCAGCAAUUUCAUCUCUAUCACUUAGGAAUCCUUCAAGUCUCUCCAACUCACUCAAGCCAUAUAGUCGAACUUUUUCUUUUACUUCAAUGCCUGCACUUGUAGGAAGAUAUAAAUGCCUCAAACUUUUCAUCUUUCCAAGAACAUUUGGCAUUUCUAUCACGUUAAAUGCAUACAGAAAGACAUUUGGCAUCUUCGACAAGUAGCUUACCCGUAGAUCAAGAGUUUGGAGGAAUGGUAAUUCGGUUAUUGAUGAUGGAAGACCACUUAAGUCGAAAUUGCAGCCUCUAAAACACAAAAGCCUUAAAUGGAUGAGUUUCUCUAGACCUGUGGCUAAAUCUUGCCCUUCAAAAUCAUACUUAUCAAACUUCAGCACUCUAAGCGAUUUGAAGGUCUUGUAAUUAACAUUUAACCCUUCAGCCCAGAUGAUUUUCUUUCUCGAACACCAAGCACCAUCACUAUUGCGAAAAAGAAGACAACAAAGUUGUUUAAAAUCCUCCACAAUAGCGUUAGCAUUAACGGGGGUUUCAACAUUAGUAUUUAUGUGGACGACUAAUCUGUAGACAUCAUUAUUGGUGUGAGAAACGGAAUCCAGCAAGGGCUUCUCGACACCCCGAAGAUCUAUGACCUCAGAAAAUUCUUCUUCUCUUCCUUUCUUUAAACAAAAAUCUCGCAUCACAUCAUGAAGAUGAAGGCGACACGAGGUUGAAAAUCCAUUGACUUGCAUUUGAACCAUAGAUCUUUGCCCUAAUUCAACCAAAUACCUCUCUGCAACAUUGAGUAAUGUUUCCCCAUUUCUUCGGUGUUCCGACAAGACCAUGCCUUCUGCAAUCCAUAGUAGGUGUAGUUCUUUGGCAUCUAAGUACUCAUCCUCCAGAAAGGUGCCCAAAUAGAGGAAGCAUGGUUUCAAAUAGCUCAUAUUUUUUUUUCAACCUAAAUAACAAAAUAAUCAUCAUUGAGAACUAUUUCACUAUCCAGUUAUUCAUCAAUCAAUCAGCCUAUCAACUGCCAAAUUUCAUUUCAAAGAAAUGAUAAUCUUAUGCUCUUAAAAAAAAAACAAACAAACAACGCAAGAAUAAAAGUAACAAAUAAGGAUACUAUUUAAGUUAAUUUUGAUGAUCAAUUAAUACUUAAAAAAAGUCAAGAAAUCGAGAAUAAGCCCAUAAGAGAGGUGACUAUAUGAAUGAUACGCAAAGAAAAAGGCGCGAGGGGAAUUUGGGAUGAUGAUUAAAAUUUUACGUUUUAACAAAACAAGUUUCUCUACCUUAUUUGAACGGUUACUAUUGUACGCCAUCUGUGUACAUUCUCAUUUAAAGAGUACAAAUAUUCAAGCAAACUAUCAAACUACUACUUGUGUUGAAGUGGUCCACUUUUAUUUCUUACUAGGAGGGGAUCACCGCGCGAUGCGCGGUGGUGGUUUAAUGUUGCCCAGAAAAUGCCCAGACUUUCAAGUAGAAAUAUCAUAAAGCGUAUGAAUUGUAUUUGAGUAACUUAGCUAUAAAAUGAUUAAGUUUUUAAAUAAGUAAUGGGAUAAGAAAACGUGAGUACAUGAAAGUUUGCAUCAAACAUGGUGUUGAAAAAAAAGGUUAUAGAGGAAAAAUCGAGGGGAGUAAAAUUGGAAUUAAUUGGCAUGGCUUUGUUUGGUGUAUAGAUGACGAAGUGUUGGCGGAAGUAAAUAGAGAGAUAUUUUCAUUGCAAUAUUGAUCCCAACCUUCUUCGAAUGAACGAUCACCGACUGCAACAGGCCAUUUAUAAAUUCCAUGUUUGAUAAUGAUUGUAUUGCGCUGGUGCUGAUUAAGUAAUAGCUUCAAUUGAGCAGGCAGAAUCUGUUUUUUAGAAGAUUAGAAAAGGAAAUGUUAAACGAAGAUAUAUAAUUGUACUAAUCAUUGGUAGCAUGUAUUUUAUAUUGAGCGAAAGGGAAAAAAUAGACCUCUCCUUUGUGAAUGCAUUUUAGCAGAAAACAACAGGCCAUUGAGCCGCUGAUUGUUAAUCCAUAGGUAGAUGAUGCUUCUGCCAUUGAUCUGAUCAGCGAAGGUGAUAAAUAUAAAGCGUCAAAGAUGCAAUGAUAUGCAGGCAAAGUAAUGCGGUAAACGUUAGGAAUAACUGAGUGAAAGUAGGAAACUUAGCCUGGUGCAGCACUUUGCCUGGGAUGCAUGCUGUGUUCAGGUAGCACCUAUAUAUAAAGAAUGGAUGGUUGAUAGUUCUGUGGGUAAGAUUUUUUGUAUAUUCAGGCCGGCUCUCAUUUUUCACAGCUAAGCGGCUUAAUGAUUUGGGAUAUCUGUCCUCUAUAAAUUUAUUGAACCUGAACAAAGGGAAAAGUUGGCUUGCUUAAAUUUAUUGAAGGUCAAACAGCUAUACAUGUUAAGGACAAUAGGUCUUCGAACCUGAGCUGGUCAGUAGAGUAAGUGCAGGUCAUAACGGUAGGUCGAUAUUUAAUAAGAUGGUUAUGUGUAGGGGAAGACUUGAACAAGUCAUGAGAAACGUAUCAUGAAAAAGCUGAUGUCUAACAAUUAUUACAUCCACCAAGAGGUCAAUUAAUAAACUUAAUAGAGUAGAUGUCGAAUUGAAAGGAUACUGUAACAAGUACAUAGCAGUUGGAAGGCAUCAAUUUAGAUACAUAGUGUCGCUGAUUGCAGCUUAUCAGCAAAGGUAAAAGGUCCCAGACCAAAAGGGGUUUAAAGGGUAUCUCAUGGACAAAAAACACAUCUUCCAUUAAUACAUUAAUGAGCCUUCUAAGAAUGCACAAGGAACGUUGCAAAAAUAUACGAUAGCAUGUUAGGCAAUAUCUAAGAGUCAGGUGGAUGCAAAACUGAACCGCAACAAGCUAGAUUAGUUUUUGCUUCUUGCUAGAGCUGCACUCUGCAUUUUCAUCCACAUCUAGUUCAACGUUCUGGGGUUCAUCAAAUCUGUCAGAAAGCCGAACACAAAUCUUUGACCGAUCACUGUCUCCUCCUGCGAUAAUAAAUUUUUUACAUGGUUUGCUGUUCAUUUGCCGUAAAAGAUAAGUAUAGGACAGAAAUUAGGUACUUGGUAUUUACCUGGAGUCCCCAACCGUACAUUGUCAACUUCUUUGCCAAGGAAAGAAGAGUCAUCUUCUGUUUGACUUGUUAACUGGAUAGAAGCAGUUGGAUCAUCAAUUUCAGAGUAGUAUAUAAUUGUGUAACGCUGCCUCGCAUCUGCCAGCUGUGUUUGCACAGGUUUGAUAUGGAGCAGAAACAUUUUUGAUUUAAGCUCGUUAUGGACAAACUCGAGUGGAAGUUCAACAUUCUGUUAAGAAAACAGAAAAACAAGAGUAAAAAUAUAUAACGUCUUCAGUAUUAGGAUUCAGCACGUAGGAACCUGAUCAAAAUGCUGCAUUGCUUCUAGUCCAUUAAAUGUCAAUAGCUUCUCUGCCAAUUCGCCAAAUACUGAGGCUGGGAUCACUCCAGUGCUAUCGGUCAAAUCGACAUCAAAGCGACAUCUGAAAAUGGGUACACAAUAUGCAGGAAGAUAUCUAGUGACAACGACAGCAUUAGAUAACAACAAACAAAAAUCAACAUAGGAAAGGUAUAUUAUUUAGCACCUAGGUAUUGCAGGAUGUUUCUCUUUGCAUGAGUUACAGGUAAACACCACUUCAUAGUCUGCUGCUGUAGCUCGACAACAGUUUUUGCAACUCAUGUACCAAUAUUUCUGGAAGAUGUGGUCAAAAGAGAUCUGUGCCUUGACCCACACAGUCUAAAAGUGGAGCAAGCAUGAGUAUAAAAAAAUGAUCAUAAAUGAGAAAAAGUAUGAAAGGAGGCCAACACUAUCCAUUUACAAACCUUUUGUGUUGAGGUUAUGUUACAAAUCCAAGUUGUUUUUUGGUCUGGCUUCAAUGACAGCUGUGGAUUAUAUUUAAUAUAGUCCAUUUUUUCGACAAGCUCUUUAAUCAGAUUAGUGUUUCUCAACGCCCUGGGUGAAAGGAUGCAUACAAAAUAUUAGAACUGGUAGGCAGGACAGUAUUUAGAUCGAAACUGUGUAUAGAAUGAUGAUUGGAAAUACACCGUACCAAUUCUUGAGCUCUCUUGCUUCUUGUAUAGGAGGAUCAACCAGAAUCGCUGAAUCAAACCAAGUACCAAGUGCGACCCCUAUACGACGAAAAGAAAUGGAGAAAGAUUUACAGGUGUUGCAGACGAGCAUAAAAGGCUAAGUGCUAAAAAUGUAAAGAUUAAAAUGGGGAACAAACCAUUAUAGUUAUUCACUUUGACCCUCCGAGCAAUGAUCACAGGAUAGCUGUGAAGUUUAGAUAGCAUUUCUGCUCCCCUCGUUAGUUAGAAAGUUAUCCCACAGAGAUAAGAGGACUGUCUGUGACCUGCAUUUGUGGUAAGAGGUAACAGUCACAGACCGCAAAAAUUUACUGCAGAGGAAAAGGAGAUGCAGUGCGAAAUUAUGUCUAAAUCAAAGAUUAAAGUCGUUACUCUUCAUUAAGCAGGGACAAAUUUCUGAACAUCUGAUUGCCUUGAGUUUUUGGUAAUUGUUUUCCUCUCGAGCGCACUAAUCACGACUCCCAGCACGUCUAUGAAUAACACAGGGAAGGGGAUUAUAAAAACCUGGUUCAGAAUGUAACAUACUAAGAGUAAAGCGUUGAAAGACUCACCGACUGAUUUAGUUUUGUCAUCCAUGUACUGAACUAAAUCAGUAAACUUUGAAUAGCAGAAUUUCACAGCCAUGACUGCAUCAUCAUCAGGAAUUUCAUCAAUGACAGUCCUGCUACUGAUCACCCACUGAAUGGUAAGGUCAGAUGUCUGGAACUUUUGUGGUAUAGGCCUGACCUCAGCAUUGGAGAUUUUAUACUUUUUAUAAACCUGCAAGAUCUGGCUCAUUCUAGGAAUGUCAUCAUUGAAGAUGAUUCCUUCAACCCUCGAUCCCUAUUUAAAGAGGCAAAAUUAACGCAGGAUUAAGAAAGCAAAAGAGUAGUGUAUUUUAAUGAUCACAUCUAAAACAGAGCAGAAGGUUUGACUAACUUCUGAAUCAUAGAAAACAAACUUCUGCUUUCUUGUAGGGGUUCCCAAUGAGUUUGUGACCUGUUGCUUUUCUUGAACAGUGAUAAUGCAGCUCCAAUUUUUCAUGUGAGGCAUAACAUCUCGUAUUGGCAGCAAGUUAGCCAUCCUAUAAACACAUAAGUUGUUGAAUAAAUGAACAGCAACUUAAAGAUCCAGGAACAUAGUAAUCCAAGAAUAAAGAAUCUGCAUGACACCUUCAGUUAGUAUAAUUCAACAGAGAAUGGUCUACUGGUUUGUUAAUCUAAAAUCUCAGCAAAGACGACAUUUCGAGUUUUGCAAUCUACUUUUGUGCCAUCAAAUGUCCCAGGAACAAGUAGAAUUUUAACUUUAGCCGCAGUCCUAGCUCUAGACAGAGCGACAUACAACUGUCCAUGAGAAAAAACUGGUUCUCGUAGAUAGAUGCCGACGUAGUCAAGAGUUUGACCCUGUGAUUUGUUGAUGGUCAGAGCGAAGCAAAGUCGGACAGGAAAUUGUGUUCGGAUGAAUGGAAUCCCAUUUUUGUCAUUGUCGGGUGACUGAAGAGGUAUCCUUGGAAUAAAAAACUCUUUUUCCUCGGUGAUGACCAAAAAACAAUCUCAGCAGAAAUCGUGUGUUGCCCAAGAUCUCUACAUAUUAACCGUGUUCCAUUACAUAGACCCUCAGCUGGGUUUAAAUUCCUUAGAAGCAUCAGCGGGCAGUUUUCCUUCAAUAGUAACUUAUGAGGAGGGAGACCUUUAGGAUUUUGAGAAUUGAGGAAGUCCUCAUAAUCACUUUGAUGCAGCUGAUCAACAGUCUUGUCCGAGCUAAUAUAAGUUUGAAGGCUCCCAGGAAACCUCCUAAUCAUUAUUUCAUUGAGCUCGUCAACCGAGCUAUUUUUAGGAGCAAGGAUGCACCUAUUUAUCAGGUUAUAAGGAUCACGUGCAUAGAGGUUCAAAUCUGGAAACACGCUCUCUAUUAACCUGUGUAUAAGAAGAUUUGUUUAUAAUGGAAGUAGAAGGAAUGAUUAUAAAAAUGACCAGAAUUUGAUUGCAUGUAACCAGCUAACCUGUUGAGAGAUUCCUCUUUAUCUAGAUAUGGAAUAACUAUAUCUGGUGGCAAAGUUAUUUCGCCCUGAUCAUCGACAGGUUCCCUCCCCUCUCCUACACUUAAAAGAAAAUGUGAAAAUCCCGGAUCAAACAUAGCCCGCAUGUUUUCUGUGAGCCUGAGCUUGUGUAGUUUAGGCCACAGGGGAGAAAUGGGGAAGGUUGAUUCUAUGAGUUGUUCUUUAGUUGCUUGUUCAAUGACAGGUAGAGUUUGCCGAAAAUCGCCACCAAAAACGACAACUUUUCCUCCAAAAGGCAAAUCUGAAUCCAUUAAAUCUUUUAGCAGCUCGUCAAAUGCUUCAAUUGUUUCCCGCUUAGCCAUUGAAGCUUCAUCCCACAAAAUAAGCGUAGAUUCAAAAAGGAGUUUUGCAGCAGAGCUCUGUUUACUAAGCUGACAACUCUUAGUUUUUGAGAAAUCAAGUGGUAUCUUGAAUCUCGAGUGAGCUGUCCGCCCACCAGGAAGGAUUGAUGCUGCAAUUCCAGAUGUUGCCACUGCAAGGGCAACAUGGUUCUGUGAGCGUAAGGUGGCGAGAAGUGCCCGGUACAGGAAGGUUUUACCGGUGCCACCGGGCCAUCGACGAAAAAAGCUUGUUCUUCGAAGGAAAAACAUGCUUUUAGGAUCACAUCGUAGGCAUGUUUUUGCUCAAAAUUUAACUUCUGAGGCAAUAACAAAUCCUCGGGCGCUACCGCUAAGCUUCUUUCAUUCUCAAUCUCCUUUGUUAACCUUUCAGCGUAACCGCAUGUGAAGUCACCGGAGACAAAGUGAAAAUCAGCAAUGUUUUUGCCCAUUUGUUCAAGUGAGUUGUUUAUAUCCUGCAGGACCUUUCUUCUAAUUUCAGGAGAAGAAAGGCCAUGGGAUGGUUGAUGAUGGUGAUAGUCGGCAGAAAGUUCUGGUUCAAAUGUUUCCCAAAGUGACCUAGGAUCUGCCGGGGAACAAUACACAAGAAGAGUGGCAAAUAAUAAUCUCAACGAGGAAGGCAUCUGAAACGCUACCGCUUCCUGAAGUGUGUCCUCGAUGUAUGCAUCAGACUGUAGAAGGCCGAGAGCUAGAGCAGCCUCUCUGAAUGAGGCAAAUCUCUGUUCACUAACAGUCAAAAGGUCUUCAAAAGAAGUCGGUCCAGCAAUAUGAGUUAGAAGUAACCUCAAAUAAUACCUUUCUCCUUCUUUUGGACUAACAGUCACCAUCCUACCGAUCACUUUUCGACGUUUUCGUUCAGUCCACUCUUUAUAUUUAGCAGACCAAACAAAAUGUUCAGGGAAAUCUCUAUAGAAGCACUUCAGAUUUUGUGCUUUUAUAUUUGUUUUGUUCAUGCAGAAAAACUGAGUUAACAUUGUUUUAGAAAAAUCAACUUUGCUCAGCAGUUGGAACAAGUCAGAAUUUUUGACAAAGGAAACAAAUUGCUGGUCUGGAAGGUGAACUUGAAGGGUGUAAACUGCUGGAGUCAUCUCAUUGAGUUUAAAUUCAUAAAUGCGCCAAAAAGCCUCCGGAGGCGAAACCCAUCUACCUUUCUGGAAGUCUUUUAUUUCAUCAGUAUCAUUGGGUGAUUCACAGGAAAUAAUCUUAAAGCUCACCAGGUCAUGCCCUUUGAAAACAUACUUAUAUAAGUAUUUCACGAGUUUCAAAGUUGAACAAAUUUCCAUGUUGAUGUGGCAAUCAAAUAAGGCAAGUAGGUAUGGGUUGUAAGGCACAACCCAUCUAUUAUCAAGAGUAAAUCUGCGGACCUUGACUCUCUUGCCAUCAUCUCUCCGUCUAUAAUAUGGAUAAGUAUCCUCACCAUGAGUCGUUUGAGCACAAAAGUUCUUUGGAUAGCGAUUUUUGCAGAUUCCAUCUCUCAUGCAAGGACAAGAUUUAUCCAUGGCUCCGCAAGGACCAUGGAUCAUAUGUUUGACAACAAGGGAAUAUAAGUGAGGAUAUCGAUCUUUGUCGGGCAACUCAGCACAAACUACUUUGUCGUAUGACUCCGGAUUAAGCAGCUUGUGACCAGGUUUUAAGAUCAAUAAUAGAUGGGCAUGAGGAAAGCCUCGCUUUUGAAACUCGAUCACAUAAACGCAUGCUGCAACGUCACCAAAGAUUUGUUUAUUCAGAAGUUCUGCUUUAAGAAGUUCAAACUUGGCUCUAAAAACUCUAGCUAGAAGGUCUGGCCGAUUUUGAGGUUUUUCAUGGUAUUUCAAGUUUUCUUGAAUCUCCUUCCAUGCUGGAUUACAUGUCAUAGUUAGGAAGAUAUCUGGUUUCCCGAACUUUUGGACCAGAGCCAUUGCAUCAAGGUAGCGACGGCGCAUGUCCCUCGGCCACCUAUAAAGGAAGCUGGCAAGAAGACCUUACGACCAACCUUAGAAGCAGCAGUUUCACCAAUAGAAACACUGUCAAGAACUCCUUGCAGAGCUUCAGAGCGUAUUUUGUUUUGGCGAUGUCUAUGGAAGUCAAGUCUAGAUGUUUCUAUCUUGACAUAACCGUCAACCGAAAACUGCUGUAGCAAUCUAAGAGCGUGCAACAACAUUGAUUCAUCAUUGUCCCGUAUCUGAAAUCUAUAACAGUAGUACUCCCUAACUGAAACAGUAUUGCCUUCUGAUUUGCCUUGGUCAGCAGCUAUAAAGAAGGAAAAUGUUCUGGGCAUUAUCAGAUGAUAUAAGGCAAGGGAUAGGCCUAGUUGCUUAUAACAAGGGAGGGAUGUACUUGCCUCUCUGUUCCAAAUCAAUUAACUCCGACGAGGUGUUAACUGAAGUUGGAUCGAUGUUAAGAUCAGCCUCACAGGCGUCCUCUCCUCUUUUCCUUUUGCGAAGUCGCUUAAUUCCAUGGUGCCAGCCACACUCACCACGAGGGAAAAGGAGAGGGUAUUGUAAAGGGUCAUAACAGCCAUAGUAAUGCUGAAGACGAUGGCUACCAGCUGAGCGAGAAUAAACCUGAAUGUGAGCGCGCCUAUCGGAUGUCUGAUCUUCACUCUCAGUCCAUAUAGCUGCAACUUGCGAGGCAGUGGGAAGAUUAUAGAUUCGCUGGUCUAGCGAAGGAUAACAGUUAAGGACAAUGUUCAGGCUGUCAAUAUUUGGAACAUCCCUAAGGCUCCUAAAGAACCGGGCAUAAGGAUUAUCAGAAAGAACUCGCAUAAGCAAUUUCAAAGUGUUUUCUCGCAGCUUAUCAGAGUUACCAAGCCUCUUUGCUAAUUCCUCAUCAGUGUCAAAGAAGUAUAACUGGAUGCCAGAAGGUUUCUCGCCCAAGUGAAUAAGACCAUCAGAAAGUGGUAGACUUGGCCUUGGACCCGGAAGGUAUAAACACCUUUCGUGUUCUUUGUUAAAUCAGUGUCGUACUUGGCAGCAAAUGAUGUAAAGCCAAGGUUGUUGUUAUAAGUACGAACAUUGUUUCUGAAGUGGGCACUUUCUUCAUCGUUGCCAAUGAACAAGCGUUUCAAAUCAUAAGGCAUCGGAGGAGCGACGAUAGAGAUUUCUCCCCCGAGCAGCAAAAGGUAGGAGGUUCCAAAUGGAACCUUUUCGCUCCACAAUGCUCACAAUCAGGAGCAUCAGGCAGAACCAGAGAUGCAUUAGAAAUAUUGGCAAGCCGAGAUAGGCUUGAACCCGAAGUCGUUCGCUCCAUCGCUGUAGUUUUAUAUUUUGGAUACGAGUAAAUCAAUUAGUUCUGGUCGGGUUUGUAGAUAAAGCAGAAUCUAGGUUAAUGAAUGGCCAAGCCGAAUCAGAAACUAAUGCCAACCUGAUGCCUGGUUGGUAACAGUUUCAGGAGCGUUGCGUUUUUUGUUAGAGGACUGACUAAAAGAUGGAGUAGCAGAAGGACUAACGUUCCUGCUCCUCAUACCCAAACAACCAGAUGUUGGUUUGAACCUGGCCGCAUCCUUUUUAUGAACAGGAAACACGCCUGCAUAUUGCAGAAGUGAUUAAGGCGGAUUGCAGAUCCGAACAAGCUAUCUAAAAUUGUCCAAAGUCCCUUAGGGGGAAAGGCGAAGUAAAGGCAAAGGUUCCGAGAAACCAGGCUAUAAAGAUGAUCAGUCAUUGUUUAUAGCCUGGUUGAAGCAGGUCAGGGAUUAUACAAAGAAAAUGAAUACGGCAAGGUAAGGCAGUACCUGUGCAAGGAGGUGGUAAAGUAGAAUCUGAAAUCCUAGCAGACAAAGAAUUACUUUCAUAAGCAAGUUCUCUUUGGGGUGAUGGUUCAGAGUUCAUAAGAGGCGAAUUUAAAGAAAAAGAGUCUAGUAUAACUUCAGGCUGUUCAUUGUCUUGGAAGCGUUCAUUUUCAGGUGAAAGGGACAGUGUGCACUUAUGUUUUUCUGUAGUUAAUUCAGUGCUGAGCUGGAAAUCAGUAGAAUGAAGGGGGAUUUGUUCCGGUUCUGCACCAGAAGACAACCCCUGAUAUUUUGCUGGGACAAGGCCAUUACGGGAUGGAAGCUCUGCAGUUACGAACAAAGGCAGAUGUAAUUUUCAGAGGCAAAAGAGGAAUAGUGUCAAGCAAAGGAGACGGAUAAGAGUAAGUGGCGCCAAACAGCAGGAGCUAAACGAGCGAAGGAAUUGGACGUCAAGCAACGCUGAUAUACCUUUAGGUGGAGGUGUAAUUUGCACAGGUAUUUCUCCGGCAAACGAGGAAGAAGAGCUACCAUUAAAGGAACCCGGUAGCUGUUCAGACAUGAAUUCUAAUCCUUCUACCAUUGUAAAUGCAUUUUCAGCACGGAACACAGCAUCUGUGUUUCCUAACGGCUGAGAAUGCACAGAAGCUUGAUCCUCAGAACGACAUGGCAUACGUUGGGUAUCUGGGAAAGAUACACCAGUUUCGACAUAGCCUAAUGGAACCUUGCGAACGCGGGGGGUAAAGCAUUCCCAGCUUUCUUUGCUGCUUUAGCUUCUCUUCGAGAGCGCAGAAGCGCCGCUUUCUUCAGAGGCGGCAUCUCCGCAUAUCUUUUGCGGCGCAUAGCAUUUCUAUCCAUCUAAUGACUACACACUUUAGCAGGGGAAAGAAAGACUAACGUACAUAUCUAAUGCACUACCAUAGAGCCGACGAAAUAAGGGCUAAGGAGGUAAAAGUUAAAGAAAAGCUUGCAGAGUAAAUAAACGCCAUAACAGAGGUAUGAGACAAAGGGCUCUUAUUAAAAAGGAACAAAACACAGGAAAGAAAAGCCAAAACACAGGUCUUAUAUAGAAGAAGAAAAAAUGAACAGAUAAGCAUAAAGCAGGCAAACAGGCGAGCAAACCAUCUAGCAUUUUAAAAAUGCAACAUUUUAAAGCCACUACAGGGCAGACAAAACCAGCAGGAUGGAGGGAAAUGCUCAAGCAAACCCUGUGACAUUCUAGAAUGGUGUAGCAUGGACCAAAGUGCUCAUUAGGAAGAAGCAAGGUGACAGGCAAAGUAAAAAGGCUAAGCAUAUGCAGAAGGGAGAACAAGCGAUGUCACCUUAACCUUAGAUACGCAGAACAAGCCUUUAUCAGCCAACAGAAGAGCAGCAGAAAAGAGGGCAGGACCGGCUACUGUGUCAAACAAAACAACGAGAGGGGAAAAAAUUAAGAGGAUACAAUGAUUAAAGAGGUAAUCAGCUAUAGCACGUAAUAGAGAAGGAAAGUGGAAAAGGUAUCAGGGGCAAAAAGCAUAAAACAGAAAGCGCGGAAAGCUAACCCGCACGAACUAAGAAGCGCAGAGUAGAAGCUAAAACAAAAAACAAAUAGGUUGCAAGAACCAUUGACAGGAGGGAAAUGGAACACAGAGGUAAAAAGAUGCGCACAGUAAUUCAAAGCUAAACAAAGCAACAGAAGGAGAAAAAUGGGGCGUAAAGCAAAGGAAAUAGCCAAGGCAACAGCAAGAGCUCAACAGGGCAUAAAAUUUAGGGGAAAAAUUCAAAUAAACAUGACAAUCCCAAGCAACAAACUAACCAGGAGCCAAAAUGUAACAGUAACAGGGGAAGUAAAUCCGAAACAAGAACGCAGCAAGACAAGCUCCGGCAGAGGGAACAAGGGAAACGAAAGAAACGAGCUAACAACACAGUAGGUAGAAGCAAACGUAUGGAAAGAAAGAAAAGACUAGCGGAAAAGGCACAGUUACCGUGGAGCAUGAUGGUGAUGGCUGGAGGAGGCGGCCGCAGGAACAUAGGAGCCUCUGCAUAGAUCGGAGAAACAAAGGUUUUUAGUCUUUUCAAUCAAAGGAAAGAGGAAAAAGUCGGUUCUUGGCAGAUCUCUAAACCAGAGGUGAAAUUUCUUCUCAAUAAAGGACACAGUCAAGCAAUAAGAUCAGCAACAAACAACGCUGCAUUUGUUUUCAAAUACAAGGGCAAAAUCGUGAAAUCAUGCAAACCCACAUUGAGGCCACCAGCCAACAGUUGUCAUCAAUCAACCCAGCAGCAACCGCCAUAAGCUUACUCAGCAGGUCAGGCGGUCUUCAUCUUGGUCUAUCGGACAAAAAACAGGAGCUGUACUUCUUCUUCCAGCGGAGAAAAGCAACAAUCCGAAGCCCCCUCCCAGUCAAUCAACCCAGCAGCAACCGCCAUAAGCUUACUCAGCAGGUCAGGUGGUCUUCAUCUUGGGCUAUCGGACAAAAAGCAGGAGCUGUACUUCUUCUUCCAGCGGAGAAAAGCAACAAUCCGAAGCCCCCUCCCAGUCAAUCAACCCAGCAGCAACCGCCAUAAGCUUACUCAGCAGGUCAGGUGGUCUUCAUCUUGGUCUAUCGGACAAAAAGCAGAAGCUGUACUUCUUCUUCCAGAGGAGAGGAGAAGAAAAGUAACAAUCUGAAGCCCCCUCCCAGUGGAAGCACGCGAGCACCACGUGAUGGACGAAGACGACCCCCCAGCGAAUGAAAUGCAGCCACAUCAGCACAACCACCGAACCCUUUCGCGCUUUUACUAUAUAGGUUGAUAAACACCCUGUACAAGUCAUUUAGAUGAAUAAUAGAUUGGGGUUAUUAUCACUUUACCCCCUUAACAUUCGGUGUCACUAUCAAUUUUCCCCUUAACGUUAUCUUUUAGUCACUUUAUCCUCAAGACUAAUGGUCAAACUUAACAGAGUUUGUUAAUUAAAGUAAAAAAACAAGUUUAGCCCUUAAAGCUAUUAUCAUUUUACCCUCAUAAACUAUAGUCUCAUUAUCAAUUUACCCCAUAGAGUUAUUUUUUAGGCAAUUUAUCGCAUCAUUAAACCAAUUUAACAAGUUAAAAAGUUCUUUAGAAGAAAGUACCCUCCUCUUUGUAUAAUAAAAAUAAUAAAAAAAUUUAAAGUGACUCUUCUCCUCUUUAGUAUCAAGAAAAAAAGUCAAAAUAUUAAUUUCUUUCUUCUUGACAAUCUUAUUAAUAUUAAAAAAAUAGAAAGAUCGGAAGGGGGAGGGAGAGGGGGAGAGAGAGAUAGAGAGAGAGAGCUCAAUUCUUUUUUAGAAAAUACAAAUAAGAAAGAAUUAAAUACUUCAUUAUUUUAAAAUUAUUUCACUUUACUGUUUACCACUAGAUUUCAAUCAUAAUCCCAACAAUCUUAAAUUAAUAUGAUAAUGUUAGAAUUUUUUUUUUCUUUGCAAAUCUAACUUUCUGUCUUCUUCUUUCCUAUUUCUUUUUCUUUUCAUAGUAUUAAUAAGUGUGGAAAAAGAAAUUUGAGAAAAUCCUUUUAUUUUUAUAUUUUUGGAUCUCUUAAAGAGAAAAAAAAGAAGAAUAAUCAUUCUAAAUCUUAUAUUUUUAAUUAUAUAUAUAAGGGUAAAUAUAUUUAAAAUUUUUUGACCAUAUUUGUUAGAUUAACGAUGAAGUAAAAUGUCAAGAAAAUAAUGUUAAUAAUUAAAUCGAUUAUAUCACUACAAUUUAAAGGAAUAAAGUAAUAAUAACAGUGUAGUAAUGCUAUAGAAUAAAAGGGUAUUUUUGUCCAAAAUUUCUUAACAUGUUGAGUUGAAUUACUUAUGGGGAUGAAAUGACUAAAAGAUAACGUUAGGGGUAAACUGAUAGUAAUGAUAUAAUUUAAGGGGAUAAAGUGAUAAUAACCCUAAUAGAUUACAACGAGCUAGUUUCCAAGGAAAUAGAUAACCAAUUAAGAGGCUUUUUGAUUAUUUAGUACUUCAACGUUAUCCAUAAACAAAAGUAGUUAUAUAUUCAUUUUACUUCUCAAAAAUUUAAUGGCGGCAUAACUUAAAUUACAUUAAAAAUAGGACUAAUAAGAGAAUUUGUAUAGGGGUAGUGGGCCCUCUUGACAAUUUGCAGCUCUUAAUUUACACUAAUCCUAAUUGUCUUCCUUUAUUAAUACCAAGACUUUCCUCAAUCUAAAUUCUCCUUUGUCCCUCUAAUUUUCCUCUUCUUGUAAACAGAACAUCUUCCUCCUUGUGAGGGAGACCAAUUGGUUUUCUUUCUUUCUUCUUUUGGGAUCUAAUAUAGUCUCCUAGGGUUUCUUAGAGACAGUUUAUUCUCUCCUUAGUUGAUUUAGUGAGAGUUUUUUCUAUCAUAGUUUACUAUGAGAAUUUUCUUCUUUAGGUUUUUCAUUUCCUUUGUCAUAUCUUAAUUUUUUAGAUUUAGUUGUCAAAUUUAGGAUUCUUUAGGUCCAUUUCAUCACAACUCACCAUAAUAUUGAGCUUAAAGAAGUAAAUUAAUAGAUUUGAUGGUUUGAAAUAUGCAUAGAUGUUCUUGGGACCGCAUGUGAACAUAUCUAACUUUUAAGUAUUUCUGGAGCUUCACAGCGUAAUUUCAUUAAUAUUUUAAUUUGUAGUGUCUAUUUUUCAAAUCUAUUGUAUCUUAGUGUGUCUAAAUAAUUUACGCCAUUAGAGCAUAUUUAAUGUAAUUCUGAUGUUUAUUUUAAAAAAAAAUACACUAUUUUUCACUACUUUAGCUGCACUAUGCAUAUGAUUUUCAAGUAUACAUCUUUGCACAUAUUAUUUAUCUAUUAUAUAAAGAUAAUUCAUGUACUCUAUAAAGACUAUAAAAGAGUGAUAUUUUCCAAUUGAAUGCUCUUUCUUUUUUAUGAUGUACAGAUUUGUAAAAGCAUCCUGCUUUGAUAGCUACAUGAACUCUUAAUAGUAGGCGAUGCUACUUUGGUCCAAUGCUCAUGGCUAACUAGGAGAAUCACAUUUGAGCAUAGUUAGUAAACUUAACUUAGCUCAGUAGUCAACCCAUCAUCUAGCCUAGUCUAGUUAGUAUAUGGUUGGACCGGAUAAGAAAGGAAUUCAUUACAACUCAGCUGACCCUUCACCUAGCCGAGUUGGAUUAGCAAUCGGAUAGGAUAACAAAGAAAGUCAUUGACUAGUCUACGAUCUUGUUGGUUCAACUAGUAAUAUCUCAAAAACCGUUCAACAACUAAUUAAAUAAUUAUAUUAAUUUUAUUGGGCAACUGGGAGAGGGUAAGAAAUAGGAAGGGGAAGGGCUGUAGGUGGUGGUGAAGGGGAGAGAUGGGAAGAGGGGACAGAGAGGGGGGGGUAAAUAAGAAGGCUUAGAGAUGAAAACAAAAUUUCAUAAAUUGCUGCUUUUUAAUCCCUGCUUAAUUUGUAUUUCACUUAGUUUAUAUAUAUUUUUUGUUUUGGAUUUAAAGAAGUUCUCAAUCAGUCCCUACCAUCUCACAAAUUGGUAUCUUUAAAGUUGAUCACAUGUGGUCAAUUGGCUGUGUCAGGCCAAAAGAUAAUUGGAAUUAGAAGUUUGGACCAAAUUAAACCAAUUUGCAGUUGUAAGAGUUGUGAAAUCAGCAUUUCAAAUGUCAGGAAAACAAAAAUUCUUUUGCCAAAAUGUGAGAAUGUUUUCUGCAUUUGUCCCUUUCUAUAUUGCUAAUUCACCUUUCAAACAAUAUAAAAGUCUUACCUUUGACAUAUUUUCUUGAGGAUAUUGUAGCUUUUAGCAGCUCCCAACUUUCCUCUUCAUUCAAGCACUUGAUCUCGUAGGGAUAUCCAAUUUCUGCAACUUCUUUUGUGCGAGUUGUGAGCAUCAUUUUGCUGCCCCCUUCAACAUCCGGAAAUGCAUGAACUAGAUUCUCCCAAUCAUGCAUAUACCAAAUGUCAUCAAGAGUAAUUAGGCACUUAUACUCCGUUUGCACUCGAUAAAGUUCUCGAACCAACUCCCUGUCUUCGAUAUUCUUGAUCUCCUCCUCCUUCUCAGGACAAAGUUGCAUCAAGAUAUCCUGCAUAAUACAUCUAAUUUGGGCCUGUUAAGUUAUACAAACCCAAGUAAAAUGUUUGAAAGCGGUGUUGAACAUCUCUAUGCCUGUAUAUUUUCUAGCAAUGGUCCUUUCCAAGACCUCCCAUGCCCCAUACGGAGAUUAUAGCAUGGUGCUUGCUGUCGUCAACCAUGAGUGACACCAAUUACCUGAUGUCUUCUUCUUUCCCAACAAAAUAUUCCUCAACCUCAUGGGCAUAAGUUUGUCUUGCCCACUUGAGAUUGUCAUUUGUAGUUGCACCUGAGCUUUCUGCUUCGCUCAUAGCUCUUACAUCAUAUCCGCGAAAACUUGUAAUGAGAUUAUUUAUGUCAGUUUUAAGUUUUCCAAUCUCCAACCCAAGAAAAUGGCGAGAUCUGCCCUCUGCAAAGAUAGAACCAAAUGUUGUCAAUAUCACUUUUCCCCGAUUACCUGCGACUUCAAUUGCAAACAUCUCAACAGUAUCUUCAAUUCUAUAAGCAAGGCUUCUGACCUCCCUCAACCAAUUGCGAACAACUUCAUCUUUAUAUUCUCUUGCAUCAGCAUCUCUUAGGAAGCAUUGCACAUGCUUUAGCUCUCUGCUUAUUUCUUUGACCUGAUCUGUGACUCCCGACAAGAAUUUGGCUUCUUCAAUCAAUAAACGACCAAGUAUUUGCAACACACUGCCAACAAUAGCUUCAACCAUUUUUUUUUUCUUUGUUUUUUAGGCUGACAGGAAUCGCCAAAAGCUUCAAAGGACUUGGAUGAUCCUUGAGCAACCCUACUGAGAAAAACAAUAUUAAUAGAUCAGACAGACAUGAAUUGUUGAUUUUUUAUCAUUGGAUUUGAGUAGUAAAGGAUCAAGUGGGGUGGUGGAACCUCUACUGCUCACUAACGGACAAGGAUUGGUUGAGUAGACAUUGCAUGGUACAGAAGAACUAGACUCCUCUUUUAUUUAAUCGGAGAUAACUUGCAUCAUAACACCUUGAUAAAUGAAAUUUUGAGAUCCUAUUUGAAAAUUAAAGCAGUUCAUAUGAUGCUUUCAUUAAGUUUAAGAGCGAAAUAAUUGGGACCAAGUGGACUAAGUUUUGCCGCCUAAUUACUCAUCAUUAAAUUUGUCAUGAUUCUAACCUAUUUUUCAUUGUCCAAUUUGUUUCGUGCAAAUUAUAUUAUCAGAUGAUUUAACUUUUUCAGUGAGUUGAACUACACAAACAAUACUAUAUCCAAAUGACUUAUAAAAACUUUGAUUUCUUACAAUAAGCAAAUGAGUACAUAGCUAGAGAGAAAAGUAACAUAAAUAAUUAAGCUCAGGUAUACGAGCAUAUGGGUUCCCCCAUUUUGGACCGUUACAUUAUCAAAUAAGAAGUGGGAUGUGGCCAUUUUGUACUUUUCAGGGUUCAUAGCAGAAUAAACAUAUACAUACACAUACACAUAAAUAUACGAGUAAAUCUUAUAUACACUAAUAAUAUAUAUACUAUCACUGUUAUAUCCAUGAUACAUGUAUAAAAAUUGAAUUUUAAAUUCAAAAUUUUUAACUUUUGCACGAUUGUCAUCCACCCAAACCUAAUAGCGUAUACAUUGUAAGUGUAAAAAAGAUUAAUUCUAAAUAUAUUUCUAUUUAUGUAAAUGUAUACAAGUAAUUGCAAGAAUUUGAGGCAAAAUCCCUCUCCACUAUUACCACGUUGUUCUACUCUAAUCUUACAAAUCAAAGGUCAACUGACUCAAUUAAUCCUUGACCAUAGUGAGACCUUUUUCGAUCUUAGGCGAACGAGGGUUGCCAGCUCUGCUGCCUCACAAGGCACUACUGUUGAGCUCUUUGUGUUUGCUGCUUUCUCAACUGAAAAUGGAAACUGUCAAGACUUGCAUGGUGAACAAUUCCAUCUAUCAUUCUUGUCAUUUCUCAAAUCAUAAAUCAUAUAUAAGUUUCUAAUUAUUGCAUUCAGUCAUUGUUCCAUGAUCCAACAUGCUUCUAAUUAAGUGAUUUCAAACCUUCGUACUUCCCUCUGUCAUCCUCACCCUUCUGACCAUAUAUAUAUAUAUAUAUAUAUAUAUAUAUAUAUAUAUAUAUAUAUAUAACCACUUGUGAAAUCAUUAAAAUGAGAAAAAAAAUUAUUGGAAUCAAUCUUGUAAGGUGUCACCUAUCUUACAAUGUAAAAUUUUCUAGGAAAAAGUCUAGUCUUCAAAUCCUUAACCAUUAUUAAGCUGUGGACGUUCCACCAACCAACUUGAAUUCUCCUUCACUAGUCAACCAGUGACGGAGCCAGGAUUUUUUUUUUUGGGGGGCCAAAAUUGAAAUUCCAUUCAAAGAUGACUAAUUCAUAUAUAUAUAUAUAUAUAUAUAUAUAUAUAUAUAUAUAUAUAUAUAUAUAUAUAUAUAUUAACUCUCAUAAUAUAAACUAAAAUUGAAAAAAUUUAGGGGGGGCCAAUUUUAUUUUACACACAUAUUUACAUAUUAUGAAUUAAAAUUCUCAAAACUUAGGGGGGGCCAUGGCCCCCCUCUGCCCCCCUUGGCUCCGUCAUUGUAGUCAACUCCAUUAAUAAAAACUAGUAAUUCAUGAUUGACAUCGAUGUGAAUUAUUAUCAUCCAAGUCCUUCGAGAAGUUUUUGGUGGCUCCUUAUAGCCAAAAGAGGCUGAAACUAUUGUCUCUACUAGUGUUGCAAAGGCUCCGCGGUUUGUUACGCUAUGCUAACUGAGAAUUAUGCAAUUUUUUUUUAAGUGUCAGUUUAUUGGAUCAAAAGGUCUCAUAGCCUUAUAAAACUAACCAUUUUUAUUAUAUAUUUCUGAUCCUCAUUAAUAUUCUACUUUUGAAAUUUAUCUCUUUCCCGUCACUUAAAUUUCACAUAUAUAUUCAUAGUUUUUGGCUUAAUCAUAUUUCCCGUUUGCAUUUAUUGGUAAUUGUCUCUUCACUUGAAACUAAAUCUUCGCCUGUUUUCUGCGGCUUAUAAUUCAACAUCUACAGUAAUUUAAUUAGAAGAUUCUGAACUGUACUUAUAGUAACACAAGGCAAACUGCUUGGACAACAUAGGAGACAAUAGCUCAGUCACCUUCAUUAGAGAUCGUGUAGCAUUGGACGGUUCGAGAUCGGUGGUCCACAGCUUAAUAAUGUCUAAGGAUAGGUUAACUAGACUUUGUGUGAGAGAUGAGGAAGGACUCAGAUUAGUUACAGUAGUUUUCAUACCCAACUUCAUCUGGUAUUGUAUUUGCUUUAGUAUGUGAUAUGCAAUCAUAACCAAGUUCGCCAAAUUGAUAAGAACGGAUCACUUUCUGGCAAAAGAUCGUGUAUUUCAAUCGGCUAUCGAUGUAAGGGUUGCGUUAGUGAGUGAUCUGUAAGAAUAUCUAUAAACGAUAUAUUAUCCUGAAGGCAUGCACUGACUCGUGAUAGCAACCGUGCCAAAUGCACCCAAACUUUUACUUAUAAAAAAAACCGUAGCAAUGAAAAGUCUAGCCAACCAAUCCACAUCUGUUAUCCGGAGCUCCCAUAACCCCACUUGAACCAUCAUUCAAUACUACAAUCCAAUGAUGCUAAUCAAUAGUUCAUGGGAAAAAAAAAAGAGAGAAAAAUCUCAACUGUUCAUAGUCAUUCAAUUUCGUGGAAGCUUUUUUACGUGGAAAAAAAAAAACGCAAAAAUGGCUAAAAUGACUGAAGCUAUUAUCUCUGAUGUUGUGUAAACACUUAGUUGAUUUUAUCACAUGCUAACUUAGGUUCAAUCCAAAUCAUUUUGUUUUUUAGCCAAUUCAAUUUAAAAUGAUUUAAUUGCAUUUAAGAAACUAAUCCUCUUUAUUUUAUAUCUCUCUAACACUUAUAAUAUGUCUGUUUUCGAACUUUCUCUUCUUUAUUAAGCAUUAUGCACGCUAUAAUCCAAGUGGACGGCUCAAUUAAUCAUAUUCUCUGUAUGCUUUGAUCACUGUUCAGGACUUCCUCACCAUAUCAUAUUGCUAGGAUUCCUUUAUCUACUUCUUGUGCUUCCAAAUAUACAUCUAGAUAGGUUUUAAUUUUUAACUAAGCUGAGUUUUCAACUCAAGACUGAAGCUUUACCAAUUGAUGAAUUAAAUUUUAGCAAAAUGCCCAAAAAAGGAAGGGGAUGCAUCUCCUGUUUGGUAAUGUUGCAGUAGAUAAAUAAAUUCAAUAUACUAAUUUUAUAGCGUAAUGGAACCAAUGUUGAAUAAGAGAUUUUUAAUAUUAAAAAAUAUACAAAACCGAAAGAUUUGAUAAAUGAAAGUGAAAAACUAGAUAUCUCAUCUUUGAUUUCCCUUUUAACAAGGAAACAUCAUGCUCGAUUUUAUCUAAUGUAUCCCAAAAAAAAAAAACAAAUUCACAUUUGAUUUUUUUAUAGAACAAAAUAAAUUUUUAGUAAUGAAACAACUUCACAUUUGAUAAAAGCUCUCAAAAAUCAAAAUCAUGCUACCAGUAACAGUUGCCAAGUUGGUAUCUAAGGUGGACAUCUAAAAAGGAGACCUUGGCAGAGGCUCUUUCCAAAAGGUCGAGCUAAUUCAAUAUACAAAUUGGGCCCGCAACCAACCUGUGGCAGCCCCUCGCCACUCAUCACAAGCGGCCAGUGGCUGUAAGAGAGGCUGCGACUAGGGAUGGCAAUGGAGCGGGGUUGGAGAGGAGAACAUCUCCCAUAAUCGCAGCCCAGUUGUAUUUUAAUUUCCCUGCCCCCGUCCUGUCCCCCACCCCCGGCUUCCCCUACCCCCCCCCCCGCUUCCCCGCGGGGCACCUUGGGGUUAAAAAAAUUGUAUUAUAUAAUUUCAUUAUAAUUAAAUUUGAGCAAAUAAUCAAGUACUAAAAUAUCAAUACAUUACCAAAUUAUUAUUCAUUGUAAUUUCACAAUUGAAACUCAUAAAAAUAGUUAAAAAAAAGUUUAUUUGAAUACAAUCUAAUAUGAUAAAACAAAUAUAACUAAAAUAAUCAAGCUUUCACUUUUGAUAUAAAUACAAUCACUAAAUUAUUAUUGUUUUUUUUCAGAAAAAAGUGCUAUUGUAUUAAGUGUAGUUAGAAAUUUAACAUAAAUAAUUAAUAAUUUUUAUUAAUAGACAUGUAUAAUUAGUAAUAUAAUUGAUAAUAUCAUUAUAUAUAUAUAUAAUUAUGUAUAUAUAUAUAUAUAUAUUUUUUUUUCAAAGGGGUGGCGGGGCGGGGGAGUAUACUCCCCCUCCCGCCCUGUUUCUAAACGGGGGGAAAAAAAUUUCCCCCCCCACCCCAGUGACCUCCCGUGGGGCGGGUGCCCGCCCCCGCUGCCAUUCCUGACUGCGACCCAAGAGUUGGUGCCGCAGCAACAGCAGCCACACUCAGCAUUUGAAUUUGUCUGGAUCUUGACGACUAAUUUCAAAUGGUCCAAAUCAGUCGAGCUAAAUUAGCCUGAUUUGAACCAUCAAAUGCACCCGACGGUGGCACUCAUAGUGCCAUAGUGGUUGGUUUAGUUGCACCUGCAACCGCAGAGAAUCUAGACUUAAAAAGUUGGCACUAAUGGUGCCAUAGCAGACCGUAGUUGGUUUAGUUGUAAUUUGGCUUUAAUCAAUAACCGAUAUGAAGCGAUAGUUAUGUUUGUAAACUCGGAGUGGGAAGUGACGACGAUAAACUUAGGAAUCAGGGUCAAUGGAUUCAAUCGGUUGAGUUGGGAUUCGACCGGAUGACAUCAUAAUGACGCUAUAAAUAUAUUUUAAUUAUAUAGAAAAAUAAAAUGGUACAAAAAUAUCUCUAAACAUGGUAUACUUGGUGAAUUUAUAAAUAAUAAAAAUAAUAGAACCAUACAAAUUAAAUCCCUACGACUUACUUGAAAACGGCCCUCGGGUUGGCUCGGCUAGUGCUGGGGUUAUUUAGUUAGGUUCUAGUACCGUGUGAUCAGAAUUCGAUGCCUGUUACUGCCUUGUGUAUCCUUGGAGGGCGGGAUGUACAAGCGCAGAGGAAUAGUGGGGCCAAAUGGCAACGAAUACCUUGUGUUGACCAAAAAAAAUAAAAAGACUUAACUCGAAAACAAAUACUCCCAAUUAAGGCUGCAAACAAAUAAUAGAGAAUGUUAUGGCAAGUAUGACUAUCCAACCAUUUGGAGGUAAAAGUGAAAUACCAUGAAACUCUGAGCAUUCAUCUAUAAUACCUUAAGUUGUGGACUACUUUUGCCUUUUAGCCAUCAUACUCUGCAUAACUAGUUGAGAAAGGACUUAACGCAACAUCAUCAACAACAUAAGUGUCAUUGCCUCAACCUACAGCCAUGGAGGCAAAAAAAAAAAAAAAAAAAAAAAUCUAGCUAACACAGUAUGAGAUAUGAGAGAUCAAAUACAAGUUUGCCAUGACCAUCUUUGCAGCUGUCUUCCAACUUUUCUUUUGUUCUCAAAACCCAGAUCUCCAUUUUUUCUCUUUCUUCUUUUAUUCUCAAUCUUUAGCUUCCUUUUCUUAUUUUAAUCAAACAUAAACACCAUUAUUUUGUCUUCAUUCUCUUCUAUUCCUUUGCUGUUGUUCUCUUCUUCUUCUUCUUUCUUCUUCUUGAUAAAACAUUAUUUUGAUAAAAAAAAAGAUCAAACUAAUGAUGCUAAAUACUUUUAACUCAAAAAUUAUUAAAAAAUUGUUGUUUUUCAAGAAAUUUGUAACAAUUGAUAGUGUAAGGAACUAAAGUGUUAUAAUUGUAAUAUACAAGGGCAAAUUAGAAAUUGCUGAUAAUUUAUUGGUGGAUAUUACAAUUUACCCACAAUUCUAUGUGUAAUGUGGCACACUGAUUUUAGACAUUAUUUAGGAGCUAUUUCGUCCAUAUUUCAAAAUGAGAAUGGGCACAGAAUCAUACAUUCCACUUUGCAUAUGGGUUUUAGUUAUUCUCAUUACGUGUUUGGUUGGAUACAUGGAUAAUUUCAUCCAAGCAAUAAGCUAAUCCUCUUGAAACUUGUAUCAAAAGUUGGGAAUGGUGUGAGGCAAACUCCCAUCGAAUGAUUCUUUUGCCAAAAAUUAGGUUUGACUAGCAUUAACUUUGAUUGCUUUCAUCACCAAUUAGGUUUGCCAAAAAUCAGGUUUUGCCAAAAAUUAGGUUCCGUCACCAAUUGGCUGAACAUGGUCUUUUUGGGUCCCUCUUAGAUUGCUUUCAUGGUCGAUUUUCCGAUAACUCCUGCGUUAGUUUAAUUAGUGGUGUGUGUGUUUCUUUAGUUCCGGAAAAAAAGACUAGCAUUAACUUUGAUAUGAGCCAUUCACCAAACACUCUCUGAAAAAAAUAGGGGCUAUGGAAGGAAAACUUCCCCAGAAAAUUAACCAGUCAAUUCCCAUACCACUUAUUAUUAUUAUUAUAUUUUAAUAAUAAACCACCGAUGAAACAAACCUUGAUUGCAUGAUCACAUUGAUUUAACAAUACAUUGGGCCUAUUUUUAACUGAUUCUAGAAACCUGAUUUUAUCUUUUAAUUUUUUAAAAUAUAUUUUGUUGUGUUCUCAAAGGAUUUUAGAUUUUUUUAAGCCCAAAAAAACUAAAAAUUAGAAGUAGGAUUUGAGGUGCUUUGGAUUUUGAUUCUGACCUAUUUUUCAUGUAGACAAAAUUACCUUCAAAUUUCAAUAUAAUUAUUAAAUUACCCAAAGAUUAGAUAACUUUUUAUGGCCUUUUUAUUUUCUUCCUUUUUCAUUUCACUCCCAGAUUCAUUUAAGUGUUCCCUGUUUUUCUCAUCUAUCAUUUAAUCUUCAUAUAAAAAGUAAUCAAUUAUAUCAAAAAUUAUUUAGUCAGUAAAAAAAUUCAUUUGUGCAGCAUAUAAGGGCAAUAUGGUUGUCUUUUUGUCAAAAUCAACUUUUUAACUUUUUUGAGAACAACUAUGCAUUUAUUAAAGUAGUUUUUUAAUAGUAAAUGAGAACAAACGAGUUAUUCUAAAAAAUUUGAUUUUUAAGAAUCAAUUUUAUAAAAUUAGCUUUUACAAAAUCAGAAUUGGUUGAGACUUGAGAACAGGCCUUUUGUACAAAUAGAGAGUUGAGAAGAAAUAUCAUCUAUUUUGUUCAUGGAGCUUAAAAAGUGGAUGAUUUGUUGUAACUGGGACUCUAUCUCCAAUAAUAUAAAAUGGAGUGUUAAUAUAACAUAAUAAAAGGAUUAGUUCUACUUUGCACCUUUUAACUAUACUUCAAUUCGUUCAGAGAUACUUUAGUCACUAAACUGUUAAAACUUCCCAUAUAAGUAGAAUCUUGAAUGGAAUCACCAAAAUUAACAAAAUAAUAGUAAUUUGAGCAGCAGGGUUACAUAUUGUAAGGGCAUAGAAGGAAAAUCAGAUUAAACAAUAACCAAAAAUAAAAGGGUUGAAAGGAUUUUGAGAGAUCCAAUGUGGGCAUGAGGCAUCUAUAUGUGUGUGUGUGUGUGUGUGUGUUGCAGGGAGGAUUGUUAGGAUGGUUAAAUCAAAAUGCUUCUAACUCCUCAUUUUUUUUUUAUAUAGAAUUUUGAAUUUUUUAAUUCUUAUAUAUCCUUUCAUGUCUUUCAAAUUUUAAAAGUAAGAUCUGGCUACACUUAUAUAGGAAUUUGAUUUGAAAUCUAUUAAUGUGAGGGUAAAUAAAGAGAAAAUUUCACCAAACCUACUAGAAGUUAAAAAAAAUAAAUAACAAUAAUUUGCCCUUCAACUUAGUAAUCCUAACUAACUGUAAUAUUAUUUUAUUAUGGUUGGCCGAUAGAAGAAAAAUGGAGGAAUAGGGGAAAGUUAAAUAGAGGAGGUUGGGGGGCUAUCCAAGGUUUUAGGAAAAUGGUGAGCCGAAAAGGAUAGAAAAUUGGGUGGCAAGGUUAGGAACUAGAAGCUAACUAUAGGCAAGGGAAAGGGAAGGAGUUAAAAAGUGGCUGGAAAAGUUGAAAAGGAAGAUGAACUAUGAUAAGGUUGAACGGAGAGAGGGGAAAAGAAACAAAGACAUUGUGGUGAUAUGACAGGAAAGAUGACACUGUGAUAAGAGGCCUCAAAGUCAUAAAAGACAGCAAAUAGCCAGUAAACAUGUAAGAGAGGAUGGAAAGGGUGAUAAUUUUUAAUAAUUUUGAAAACUUUUAAAACACGUAUAACAAAUAUUUUUAAAUCUAUUAAAGUUUAUGAAGAAAACUAUUCUAUGGGCAUUGAACAAUUUUAGAAUUACAAGAUAGAAAAAAAAUUUCAAAAUUGUGGAAAAUAAAUUAGUUAUAAUUUAUAUUUUUAAUAUUAAAAAUUUUCAUAUAUGGUUAUAGCAUGAAAUAUUAAUAAAUAGGUUUACAAUAGCUCUAACAUGUAAAUCAUUAUAAAUUAAAUGAUUUUAUUCAAAUUGUUAUCAUAUAUUGAUUGACAAUAGGUAAACAAAUUUUCAUUUCAACUUAUUUAAGAUAUUAAAAUUAAGAAAGUCCAUUUUGUAUUUACAAAUAAACUUCUUUUUAACAUGUUAAGCAUACACUUUCUUGAAUAUUUUUGCUUUUUUCAUGCACUUUAUUCUAUAAUAUAAUAUAUAAGUAUAUAUUAGAAUUAUUUUGAAUUGAAAUAUAAAUCUCUGCAUAGUAUGGAUCAGAAUAUCAGUGUCCAAAUUUAGAGUUUAGGGACUAAAACGUCUUAAUUUAGAUUGUAGGGACUAAAGAUGGAAUUGCGGUAUAAUUGAAGCCCCAUAACUAAAUUCUCACCGAUUGAAAAGGUAAAGCAAUAUUACACCAAGAUAGGGAUGGCAAUGGGGCGCGUGCCCGCGCACCAAGAUAGGCAAUGGGGGCGGCACCCGCCCGCGGGGGGCUCUCGGGCGGGGGUUAGGGCGGGGGCGGGGGAAUUUUUUUCCCCCCGCUUAGAAACGGGGCGGGGGCGGGGAAGUAUACCCCCGCCCCAUCCCCCGCCCCGCCACCCGCAAAACAAUAUAUAUAUAUAUAUAUAAUUAUAUAUAAUAUGUAAGUUAAUUGGUUAUAAACUUAUGAUAAUGAUAUUAUUAGUUAGAUGUAUUAUAUAAUGUAUAUUAGUUUAUGUAAUAUAAUUGAUAUUAUCAAUUAUAUGAAUAAUUAUACAUGUCUACUAAUAGAAUUUAUUAAUUAGUUAUACUAAAUUUACUAAUAUUUUUAUACUAAAUUUCUAAUUACACUUAAUAGAAUAAAACUUUUUUCUCAAAAAAAAACACAAACACAAUAAUGAAUUAGUGAUUGUAUUUGUACUAAAAGUGAAAACUUGACUAUUUUAUUUAUAUUUAUUUCAUCAUAUUAGAUUGUAUUCAAAUAACUUCUGUUUGAUUGUUUUUAUGAGUUUUAAUUGUAAAAUUACAAUGAAUAAUAAUUUGGUGAUGUGUUGAUAUUUGGUACUUGAUUAUUUAUUAAAAUUUAAUUAUAAUAAAAUUAUAUAAUAAAAUUUUAUUAACCCCGCGGGGGAAACGGGGCAAGGCGGGGCGGGGGCGGGGGAGCGGGAGGCGGGGACGGGGCGGGGACGGGGGAACUAAUAGGCAACGGGGCGGGGGGCGGGGAGGGGUCCCUCGCCCAACCCGCCCCGUUGCCAUCCCUACACCAAGAUGGCUACAUGAACAUCGUCUCUUUCUCUUGUGGGUCCUCCUUAAAUCGAUUACGUGGCCGAUUUUUCGAUUAACUCCGGUGUUAGUCUAAUUAGUGGUGUGUGUGUUAAUUUCGUUUACGGAAAACAGCUACAUGAAAACAUAAUAGAGUACUUUCUACUUUCUAGCUGGAUAAUUGCAGAAACCUCUCUUGAAGUUUCUGACAUUUGCAUUAACCUUUUCUGCGAUUUGAAAAAUUACACUGACCUCCCCGAGAUUAUUAAUCCUUUGCAAAUUCACUUCAAAUGAUUAAAAUAUUAUUUUAGGGAGUGAAAUUAAAAUUUUUUAUCAAAUUUGUCCUUUGUACUACAUGUCCAAUGAAUGACAAAAUACUACAAAUCAAUUAACAAUUAAUAAACUUUAAGGAGUAUAGUUUAUAGACAAAUAUACAUUACCUAUUUAAAGUACCGGCUCUUUAUGGGUAUUUUACUUUCAAACAUUUAAUUUAAUACAAAUAUUUACUCUCAAAUACAUAUUUGUAUUUACUUUCAAAUAUUUAAUUUUUGUUAAAUACAAAAACUACUACAAUCUCUCUUCCGUAAAAAUAUUAAUAUAACACUUUUUCAAUUUUAGUUACAAACAUUUAUGUAUUUAACAUAAAUUAAAUGAUUCAGAAUAAAAUACUCAUAAAGAGCCAAUACUUUACUCAUGUAAUGGAUAGAAGCCAUAAAGAAUUAAUACUUUAUGGGUCAUUUUUUAAAAAAAUAUUUAAUUUAUAUUAAAUAAAUAAUCUACCGAUUUCCUUUUGCAAGAAUAUUACUGUAACAUUUUUGAAUUUUACUAACAAAUAUUGAUAUAUUUAUCAUAAAUUAAAUGUUUGAAAGUAAAAUAUCCGUAAAAAACCAAUACUUUAAAUGAGUAAUGCGUGUUUGCCAAUAAAGAGCAGGUAACUAUUUAAAGUACCGGUUCUUUAAGGGUAUUUACUUUCAAACAUUUAAUUUAAUACAAAUAUUUACGCUCAAAUACAGAUUUGUAUUUACUUUCAAACAUUUAAUUUUUUUUAAAUACAAAACCACCAAUCUCUCUUCCGUAAAAAUAUUAAUAUAACAUUUUUUCAAUUUUAGUUACAAACAUUUAUGCAUUUAACAUAAAUUAAAUGAUUCAGAAUAAAAUGCACAUAAAGAGCGAAUACUUUACUCGUGUAAUGGAUGAAAGUCAUAAAAAAUUAAUACUUUAUAGGCCAUUUAUUUUUAAAAAAAUAUAUUUAAUUAUAUUAAAUAAAUAACCUAUCGAUUUUCUUUUUACAAGAAUAUUACUAUAACAAUUUUGAAUUUUACUUACAAAUAUUGAUAUAUUUAUCAUAAAUUAAAUAUUUGAAAGUAAAAUACUCCUAAAGAGCUGGUACUUUAAAUAAGUAAUGCCUGUUUGUCCAUAAAUUAUACUCCUUAAAAUUUAUUAAUUAUUAAUUGAUUUAUAGUACUUUGUCAUUCAUUGGAUAUGUAGCACAAAGGGCAAAUCUGGUACAAAAUUCUAAUUUCACUCCCUAAAAUAAUAUUUUCAUUUGGACUAAAUUUGCAAAGGAUUAGUAACCUCAGGAGGUCAGUGUAAUUUUUCAAACCACAGGGAGGUUAGUGUAAAUGUCAGAAACCUGAGGGGAGGUUUCUGCAAUUAUCCCUUCUAGUUUCUACAUCCUGAGGUUUCUUUGUGAUUUCUAAGUAACUUCCGAGAAUUCUCCUUGAAGGUUGCUUAAAAUAUCGCUUUUGGGUCCGCCUAGCUUUUUCUUAUGGUGUUUUAGGAGUUGAGUUGGGAUCGGGGUUAAAUGGGCUAUGUGCAUAAAAGAAAUAAAGAGAGUUAAACUCACCUAAGUGAUUAUGCUUUGGAUAAAAGUCAGAAGUUGGUGAUGGUGGAUUCUUGGAUUGGUGCCUCUGUAGUUGUUCUGAAAUCUGGCGUCUGAAUGUAACUUCAUCAGAUGCCUAAAUUGAGUUUGCACCAAGAGCUACGGAUGGGUUCCUAUUACUUUAGAGUUGUUGAAUCUUUUGCUUAAUUCAGUUGUUACUCAGUAAUCCAAUGGAUAUAGAGAAGGGAAACAGUGUAUCUUCUGCUGGCCAUGAGGUAGGGGAAAGUGGCAGAUUCUUCAGUUUUACUCAACUAAGUGGUAGUCUUCAAAAGCUUUUGCAUGAUGCUGAGUUUGACUACAGUGAUGCGGAGAUUGUUGUCGAAGGAACUUCUGUGGGUGUAAAUCGCUGUAUUUUGGCUUCACGAAGUCCAUUUUUCCAUGAAUUGUUUAAGAAGGGUAAUGAUACUGUCUCUGCAAAUGAAAGUAAACCAAAGCUAUGUCAUGGAAGAACUGGUGCCCCAUGGCAAGAUAGGAUAUGAAGCAUUUUUGGUUUUCUUGAAUUAUGUUUAUACUGGAAAGCUCAAGCCUUCUCCACUAGAGGUUUCAACAUGUGUUGAUGAGUCUUGUGCUCAUGAUGCGUGUGCCCUGCAAUUAACUAUGCAGUGGAGCUUAUGUAUGCUUCUGCUACAUUUCAAAUGGAAGAACUAGUUCUGGUUGUUCAGGUGAGCUUUAAUGGCCAAUCCGGUUAAUUUCCUUAUGCUUGUGCUCCUUUUCAUAUUUGGAAGACAUCUUACAAAAUUUUAUCCUAUACUCUGGUAAAUGAGAAAAGAUCAGUACUUCAUUGGUUUCACAAUAACUGCUAGCCAUUCUAAAAUCAAAAGAUUCUCUAAUCAUAAAUGAGCAGAUGAUACAUUAGGCCCACAUAGAUAAUGAUUUCUUGGAUUCAAUUUCUAGUUCACUCCUGGCAUCCAUCCAAUGCAAGAAUCAAAAAAAUGAUUUCUUGAAGGACAGGGAAAUACAAUUAGAAACUUGUGCAGUGCUGUUAAAAUCAGAUAUACUGUCAAAACAUGAGAUCAAUGAUAAAUAUUGUUUCCUAUACCAUGCUAAGUCUUUGAUUAUUAUAAAGAACACUUCUAGAACAUCUUUCCAUAUUAUGACUUGCCGUGAUUUCACACCUAUAUCUACAUAUCCACAAAUAUGGUGCUGAAUGCUAGGAAAUAUAGUACAACUUCUUAGACCUUUUUGUUGACAUAUUUUAAAGCAAGCAUAUUUAGAAUUUUAAUAGUUUUAGAAAUUGAUUUGUUAUUUGGUAACUAUAUUAGAUUUGGUAUUACAGUGAUUUAGGAAAUAGAGUUGAGUUAUGUUUUGGUUUUAUUAGAAUAGGAUUUGUGGUUAUGUUUUUCUAUUUAAGGACUGGGAGUUCUAAGUUUGUAGUUGAGGGAAAUUUGUGAAUGAAGAAGAAUAUUUUUUUUUUCCCGUGCCUUUCUUGUUGUUUAUUAUUUGUAAGAUUUUAAUGCUACUUCCGCUGCGUGAUUUUUUGUGCUAACACUUUUAACUCAUGAAAUCAUUUCCUAGCUUUUGGUUAGCUAAAAUUGUCUACAGAAUAUGCUGUAUAUAUAAAUAACAUAUAAAUAAACUUGGUUUGGGACGGAAUUCUGUUUCUGAUUCAUUAUAAAUAAACUUGGUUUGGGACAGAAUUCUAUCUCUGAUUCAUUUCUUAUUGACAGUCUUGGUAAGCAUAUUUGAGCAGGUUGCACCUGCAAUUCUGUUCAAGUUGAGUAUUAUCUAACCUGGACCCAACUAUACUUUGUCUUCCAUUUUGCUUUCUUUCUCACUGAAAUUAUGCAUUCUGUUACUAGAUUACAAGCCGUAAUGUAUGGCUAACUGUACUCAUAUAUUCAUAUCGUAGCAUAGCAUUAAGUUUUUUACUCUUGGUGUUUUACUAAGUUGCAUAGCAUUUCCAUUCAAGCUUGUUAUGUGCUUCACAUUAAGUACGUCUCUCUCUCUGCAUUAAUGUAUCAACUAGUUAAUUCUUGUUCAUUUAUCUUGUUCCCAGUUUGUAGGGAAGGUUACAGAUAUUUCUUUUUGCUAUUAUCACCUUACCAAUCUGGUUUACAUCAUUUUUUUUAAAAAAAUUGUUUCUGAUGCAUGUUUCUUUUGGAUGCAGCGUCGGCUUCUUAACUUUGUUGAUAAGGCUCUUGUAGAAGAUGUAAUUCCAAUAGUUGUAGUAGCCCUCCACCAGCAGUUGAAUGCGCUCCUUUCAUACUGUAUCCAGAGAAUAGCACAUUCAAAUGUUGAUAAUCUCACUCUUGAAAAACAGCUUCCACAUGAAGUUCUGACAGAUAUUAAAUGCUUCAGGAAACAACUAACCAAGACCUGGAGCAUGUCACGGUGAAGCAAAUUCAGUGUAUGACAAGAGAAUCAGAAGGAUACACAAAGCAUUAGACUCUGGUGACGUAGAAUUGUUGAAAUUAAUUCUGGAUGAAUAUACUAUUACCUUAGAUGAUGCUUUUGCUCUUCAUUAUGCUGCUGCGUAUUGCAACCCUAAGGUUGUCACUGAGGUGCUCAAUCUGGGCAAUGCUAAUCUCAUCUUAGAAAUACUCAAGGAUAUACCGUACUUCAUGUGGCAGCUAGGCGCAAGGAUCCAUUAGUGAUCAUCAGCCUUCUCAGCAAGGGAGCAUAUGUGUAGAUUCUACAAUUGAUGGACAAUCGUCAAUUACAAUUUGUCGGAGGUUGACUCGGCGUAAGGAUUAUAAUGAAUCAAUAAAGCCGGACAGGAAACUAAUAAAGACAGAUUAUGCAUUGAUGUGUUGGAAAAAGCAAUGCUUAGAAAUCCACUAGCUGGUACUCUGUGUAUGUCAUCAAUUGUGGUGGGAGAUGAUUUGAUUAUGAAGCUGCUGAUCCUUGAAAAUAGAGGUAAUAUUUCUAUCUGUAAAGUUCAAUACUGUAUCCAUGCCUUAUUGACCCCAGUGGGACACCAUCUUCUUAAAAUAGGCUCCUUGAAUAUAAUUUUUGCAUCCAUUUCUGGUGGCAUCAACUUUUGAAGGUUUACUUUUCAAUCUGAAUUUUUUGUACAUGUGUUUUUGAGCCUGCAUCAGUAACUAUGAGCGCCACAUGAUGUAUAAAUAAAUAAUACAGGCAUUGUGAUGGUUCUACUUUCUUGACUUGCCUAGAGGAUUGAAAAAAAUGAAAUGUAUGUAGUAUAAUCAGGAAAAGUAUUGAGCCUUGACUUAGUGAUCAAGCAAAAGUCCCAAGUUUCAUUAUUUAAUUGAAAAUCAGGUAGUCAAUGUAUGAUGAUCUAAUAGAAACUUUCAGCCAAACUGUUGCGUUAGAUGGCAACGAUUGGUAAAACCUUUGCUGUUCCCUGGACAUGUACCAAUUUUAUAAGCCUAAUGCCCUGAAAUUGAAUCAAGCUGGAAUAUUUGUGAUUAAAGUAGCAACCAAAUUUAUUCUGAGAUGAAACUUAAUUUCUUCUGGAAACAAGUGCUUCCUUUAUAAUCUUUAGAGAAAGGAAAAAGUUCCCAUUUUUUAGAGACAAAAGACAAUACAUGGUAUUGGUGUAGAACAUUACAAGAACCUGUGUAAUGAUUUACGUAUCCUCCGGAAAUACCAGUAAUACUUCUCUGUCCUUAAUAGAAGGCUGAAACAAUUUUAUUUGUGGUUAUCAGCCAGUGAAAAGGUCUGAUGAAUUUAGCUAUUAUACCAAUUGAAAGAAUUAAUCUUGACAAGCUCAGAAAGUUCACUUCUCAUUCAACUGAAGAAUCCUCUGGUAGUCCUUUAGUUGUGGUGGAGUGGUUUUUGAGUGACAAGCUCCCCUACUUGGCAUCUAGUUUGCUAUAUUUCUUCACAUGGUGAUGUGUCAUUAGCCUAAUGAUCAUCUGACAAGGGUUCCAGGUGUUGUAAAUUAGUCCCAUCUUCCCUACUGCAGUUGCCAAAGUUUCUUUUACUGUUUUAAUCAUCCUUUCCUGCAUCAUUGAAUGUAAUUCCUAGAACUUCAAUGUGUCCUAAAGUUUUUGGCUUCUGGCAGUGGCAUUGCACAAAUAUUAUUUCCCCAAGAAGCUAUGCUAGCAAUGGAAAUAGCCAAUGUGCAUUCAACCUCAGCACCUGAAUUCUCGCGUCCAAAUAUGAUUGAUUUGAAUGAGAUACCAUAUGAGCAAGUAAAACAACUUCAAUUGCGGCUACAAGCCCUGCAAAAAUCAGGUAUUUAAGACCUCGACCAUUCUUUGUAUCUUGGGAAAAUUAAGUGACUCUAAGUUUGAUGGAUUGCUAAAUAUCAUCAACAGAGGUGGCAUUGACUAGUUACAUAAUAAUAGAGUAAAUAAUAGAUGUCCAUGUCUGGUUUUCUAUCCUCUGCUAAUUAAUUCAAAAACAAAAAGUUAAAAACAAAACAGUUCCUUGUCUGGUGUUCUCUGAUUAUGCCAUUGACAGCUUAGAGUUAUUUUUGCAGAGAUAUAUCAGUAUUUGGCAUCAUUUAACUAUAUUUUAGGACCUUCAGAUGAUCAUGUAUAUGUCAUUCUUUUUCCCAUUUCUUGGAUAAUUUGGAGCAAGCUAGAAACAACAUUAGUGCUUAAUGAAUGCUACAUUACAAACGCUGGUCUUCAAUAUUUUUAAAUACUAAUGAUCGUCAUCUUUGUUCUUUGCCUGACUAGCAUUGCAAUUAUUGUUGCCAAGUGGAGGAGUUUUUGAUGCCAGUUAGCCCAAUUUGAGUCAAUUCCAGAUCAACAAUGAAAGAGGUGUCUGGAGAAAAUUCUAAAUUUGGUUUCAUAUAAACAAUUUGCCAAGAUAUUGGAGUGCUUUGUUUCUAGCCACAGGAUUAUGUUGGGUGUUUAGCUUUGUAGUCAUCCUAAGAUGUUACAACUCUAGUUAAAAUAUUAGUACACCUAUGAACUUGUGACUUGCAUCACUAUUUGUCCUGUUUAUGACUAAUAUGCCAGCCUUCAAAAGUACAGGAUGGUGAACCGAGAUUACUAAAAUUGCGUACCAAAAUCAUUAGAUUUUACAAUUAGAGGUUCUGAUUACACAUUAUCAUCUCUUUGGUUCAUGGAGCAUCAUCAUUGCAAUCUCAGGAUCUCCAUCUCUGAUUGCUAUGUUUCUGUCUUGGCAGUGGAGAUUGGUCGGCACUUUUUUCCCAAUUGUUCUUUAGUUCUGGAUAAAUUUUUGGAGGAUCACAUGCAAGAGAUUCUCAUGUUUAAUUCUCCAGAGAAGGAGCAGACUAAGAAGAAGAUGCCUUACUUAGAACUCAAGCUGGAGGUAAUGAAUGCAUCUGAUGAAGACAAAGGUGAAAGUAACUGGCUGAGCAUUUCAACUUCUAUCUCUUCUUGUUCAUCUUCUACCAAGGCUAGUGUUGACAUUAAUGUUAGGAAACGAAAAUCAACAAGUUCAAUUGAUGGACAAAUGUCCACGACAAUCUGCCAGAGGUUUACUCAACCAAUGGAUUUUAAGGAAACAACAAAUGCAAUGACUGGUGAUAUAUCUAUGUCAUCGAUGGUGCUGGCUGAUGAUGUGGUUAUGAGGCUGCUGCUACUUGAAAAUAGAGGUAAAAAUUCAUUAAGUGAAUCUGUUCAAUUUUCAGCUAUGGUACAUUGAUGGAGAAUGUUAUCAGACAAGUUUAAGGAGCUUUUUAAAAGACAAUCAUGAUCAAUUUGUGCUUUUAGGUUAUUUUUAGCUGAAAUAUUAUUUAGAAAGAUAGCUUUGGGUGGUUCUGGAAGUAGCAUUAGAAUAUUGGCAAAACUAUCAAAUAAGAUUUUGUUAAAUAUCUUUUUCUAGAAUGAUUUUGUUUACUUAGAUUUCAAAAACCAUCUGCUUGGUUGGAGCUGUUUUUUCAAGAACAUGUUUUAUGUAAUUCCAUUGCUCUCCAACCACACUUUUAUCUCACAUGCAUGCGUACCGAAAAGGUGCUACAGUUUUCUUCCAUGCGUUUACAAUGCGCUUGCAGGAGGAAGUUUAAAGACAAAGCACAAAGGCAAAAUUGAAAAUGAAAAGUACAGAUGAAACUUAUUUUGUCCAAAAGUAUUAGGUAAAAGGAUAAGUGACUGUUGAGAAUUUUGAGGGGUACAAGUGCAUUUGGAUGUAAAAUUGAACAGGCUGAGCAACUCCUUUGUUCAUUGGAAGAUCCUCUCUAUUAUGUUUCUGCUUCACAGAAUCCAACAUUUGGAAUGUCAGUGGAUAAUAAUGGCUCAUUCACUCACUAAAUUACUUAGUUGAAUAGCUGCAUAAAGAGUUCAAAUAUUUGCACUGUGCGCUUAGCUUCCCAAAUGAUGUGUUGGAUUCCCAUUUUGCGCUAAAUAGUUUCUUCUAAUUACUGUAAUUCAGAGAAGAGUUGUUCCCAGCUACGUUUACUUUGAGUUAAUUUGCAGCUUCCAUUAUACGAGCAUUACUUCCCUCUGAAGUCAAGCUGGCAAUGGAGAUAGCAGAUACAGAUUCAUCCUCAGAGUUUCACACCUUUGCAGCAUCCAGCACCUUGUGCGGAAACUUGAAAACGGUCGACUUGAACGAAAGUCCGUUGGAGCAAGAAAAACGACUUCAAGCUGGGUUACAGGCCUUGGGAAAAGCAGGUAGUGAAGCCCAUAAGUCCUCUUCAAAGCAUUGGAAAUAUAAGUUGUUGGUCUUUAUUUUUGUUAGGAAAUGGUCAUAGUUCCUAGAGACUACAAUUUAGAUGGAAGGUCUCCAUUGUUGUGGAAAUCAUUAUUCACCAAUCAUGGUUCAGAAAUCUACAGUUUUAUGGCAUUCUUGUAUUUCAUCUUGCAAUGUUGUAGACACGCUCUUUUUUCCUCUAAUUUUGGAAUAUAUGAAAAAUAUCCUGAUGAUUCACGGCAUACUUAAACAGUCCAUGUUCAUUAUCUAGAUGUCAAUCUCAGAGAAAAUAUGAAGCACGUUAAGAAAAGAUUUGGCUUGUAAAGCCAAACAUAUAGCAAAAACUUGUACUCGGUAAAGUGCAGUAGUCAUUUUACUCAAUAAAUUUUGAACUCACUAAAGUUCGUCGUCAUAAGUUCAAAAGUUGACAUUUUACUUCUGUGUUGCACAUUUGAUGGCAGUGGAGAAGGGUCGCCAAUUUUAUCCCAGUUGCUGUGAAGUUCUUGGCAAGUUUCUGGAAAAUGAUGCAGAGGAUGUAAGAAUCAAAGAAAUUAAGGAGGAGAUCACUAAGGCAUUUGAGACAGACAAAGCUAGAAUUCACUCAACACACUUUUCUGCACCUUCACCAAGUGAAACUGGUGAACCCUCUUUCUCUUCUAAAGUUAUAUGUUUGUGCUUUUCCUUUACAUUUAUCUAUGUAUUUUGUUUUGGGUUUUUUAAGCAUCUCUGUCUUCUGAAAUUUUGGCAACAAUUUGUUAGAUACUGACUUCUUGUUGGAGAAGUUCGGAAAGCUGCUGAAAGGAAUUAAUAUAACAAGUAAGAGACAAACCACGGGACUCGAUGAGGCAAUGAUGGUAUUCAAUAACAUAGAUAAAGAUAGGAAUUUCUCAUCAUCAUCAUCUUCUGGCUCAAUAUCUAGUGUGAAUCAAGGUGUUGGCCUCGGGAAAAGAUCAUUGUGCUAAAUUUGGUUCUUCAUGAGCAUGGGAACAUUCAUUGCCAUCUGUUUCAAGCUCAAAUACAGCCUAUGGCUUACUAAAAUCAAGUUUUUCUUCUUGUAAACGUAUGAUAAUAGAUCAUGAACUGCUGUAUUAAUCUAUAUUAAUCCCAGGUAUGCUAUCAAUGUCCCUUUUCUUCUAGGUGUUUUUAGCUUAUGGCUUACUAAAAUCAAGUUUUUCUUCUUGUAAACGUAUGAUAAUAGAUCAUGAACUAGCUGUAUUAAUCUAUAUUAAUCCCAGGUAUGCUAUCAAUGUCCCUUUUCUUCUAGAUGUUUUUAGCUUACAAGAGCACGAUAAUGAAAUUAUGAACUUGCUAUAAUCUGAUUCUUUUGCUAUUUGACUUGAAUCUCUUUGCGCAUCCAUAAAGCCAAUCUUUCUUUUGAUUAGGCAUUCCAUAGAACUCUAGAGUUCAAAAGUUAUGCAUGCAAACGACAUACAAGUGGAUCUAGGAAGAGUCAAGUUUAGUUGCCUUGCUGAUGCAAAUAAAGAGGUCCUAAUUGAAGUCAUCGCCACCAUGAGAGGAGGAGAAAUAUAGCAACUAGAGCUUUCAUUAAUUAUCAGUUCUAAAGGAAGUGAUAGUUGGGAUUUGCCCUAUGUUAUUUUACUUAGUUGAUGUAGGCGCCAUUAUUUGCAUGAAUCAUAGUCAAGAAUAAAGCUGAAUUCUUUGUUAGUGUUUUCCAUUGUUAUAGUGUUAAUUGAGAUCUUGAAUAUUUGGAGGGAGAUUCACUCUUCUUUAGUGAAAAUCUUUGUCAUCUUUCAUGAUAUUGACAGAUGCAAGGAGAGGAGAAAAUAGAGAGAAGACAAUUUUUUUGCAGUAUGUUGCUUGCCUAUUGGGCAGGUCAGCUUUUUAGGAGUGUUUUUUAAGUUUGAACCAUAGGGUGAUCAGACACCUGAUCGAAUCAUGAUUUGUUUGGUUCAACCAACUAUGUCGUUCGGUUCGUCAAAUAAUAGCAAAUAAAAAUCCUUUAGAAUAAUAAAGAAUCCACAAGAAUGGGAAGCAAGGUCAAAUUUCAAUCGGAAGUUUAGAUGAAACCAAGGAAAAGCACUUAAAAAUUACUAUUAAAUUGGAAAUGUAAUUGUACCUUUUUUUUAAUAUUUUUUAUGCAAUGUAAUGGUAAUUGCAUCUUCGCUAUUAGAAAUUCAAAACAUCAAAAUUUGACAACUAAAAAGAUAAAAGCAUUCUGCAUUUCAUUUUUUUUUCUUUUUCAAAAUUUCCAAGAGCUAAUUGGAUCAUCAAUAUAUGCAAAGCUAAAAUAAUAGACGCGUCAAAAAAAUUUAUUUUUUUGUUGUCUAAUUUAAACAAAAAAAUAAAACCAUCCACAUAAUACUAAUUUACACGAAGAAAUCAAUUUGCAUAAGAUUUAUUGAUAGUAAAUAGAUACUCAGAAAAAGGAAUAAAACUUAAACAAUAAAAAUUAGACAAACAUAUAGAAACAAUAGAUGUUAAUUUCUUGAAGAAAAUGAAUGAGAGAUUUUUAAGCACUUCAAACACUCGUGCCUAGAACGAGUAGUAGCAAGCAACCGCAUAAGCUGAAAUUCAUUGACAACGAAAAGAAAUGUGAGGAAAAAAAAAAAAAGGAUGACACAAAGCAUAUUAAAAAAAAAAAAGGGAAUCACAAAAGGUUGAUAAGUUUGUGACUUUUAUUUUACUCCAUUUUAUACUUGUAUACUUUAAAUUAGUCCGUGAAGUUGCAGAACAACAAACAUGCAUAAGCCCAAACCAAUGGAAGGGUUAUUCCAAUUCAAAUGGUGCUGGUCCAUUUUAGUCUUCAGUGUGUACCUUUUUUUUUUUUUUUUUAGUCUUCAGUGUGUACCUUAAAUAGUAAAUUUUGUGUGUAGUUAAAUUAUGUUCCAAGGGCUUCCAUUAAAAAUUUCUGUUCUAUUUUCCUUUUCCUAUCCCAUUUGAGGAGAGUUGGAGCCCCUUUUGUUCAUAAAUAAGGAAGAUUUAUUAAUGAGAUUGCUAGAAAUCAUCUAACAUGAUUUGUAUAACAAAAUCAGGAGGGACGUUUCAUAGAAAAUCACUACAAUUGGCAGAUCUUGCAUAAGAAGCUAGACUGUGUGCCAAUUUGUUUGUCUCUCUUGAAACCCAAUUUACAUUGACACAGUUUUGAUCUAGCAAAUACAUAUGAACACCAUCAAUUACAGUCCUUAUAUCAGAAAAAACAUCGUCUUUUAUCUCUAAGAAGCUAGAUAAUCGAUGAUGUCCACCUACAAAUGUGUAUUUAUGCCCACCUACAUUACGGGUCUGUUUGGUUGGAAGUAAAAUAUUUUCUGUGGAAGUAAUUUUCCAUGAAAAUCAUUUCCCUUUCAUCAUUUUCAGGUGUUUGGUUAGCUUAUUGAAAAUAUUUUCUUACUUCAUUUUUCUGGUGUUUGUUUAACUUUUGAAAUAUUUUUACUUUUAUUUCUAUUUUUACUUUCUACACAUUAUAACUACAUACUUCUUCCCAUGCAAAAUAAGAAAAUUUAUCUCAUUGUUUAACUUUAAAAAAUCUUGGAGAAAUGUAUAUAUGAAUAAAAAAUAUCUCCUUAAGCAAUAAACAAAUUGCUGGCCAUUUAGUGUCAAAUAUCAAUCACAUGCAAUACUUAUUGUGACAUAUAUCUUGCACUCUCACUGCUGAAAGUUUCUUUAGAAAAGAAUGCCCCUAUUAUACAUAAUUAAUUACUAGCAUAGGAUGAGCAGGAUGAGGUUUUUUUUUUUUUUUUGAAUAUACUAGGGGAGGGUUGGGUUGGGUGGUACGGGGGAGGGAGUGUAAGGAAGAGGUCUUGGGUUCGAGUUCUCCUGUUUACACUAAAAAAAAAAAGAGAACAUACUACAAGAUGUUUUCAGUAAGUUUGGAACAUACUACAGGCGGUAUGCAUGCAUUUCGGAAAACAACUUCAGUAAGUUUGGAACGGAAGUUGUUUUCCAUAAGAUGAGUGAAAAUAUUUUACAUAGGAAAAUGUUUUCAGCAACUUUUGUGCAACCAAACACGGGAAAUUAGGAAAAUAUUUUUCUGGAAAACAUUUUCACCCGAAACAAACGGACCCUACAUAUGGGAGUAUUUCCACGAAGUAUAAAUCGAUUCCUUAGUGAAAAUUGUGAUUUAUUUGGAUAACAUAUAGACAAAAUUCUUGUUUGUUGUGUAUACGCGUGAAUUAUACAGUUUGGAAUUCAAAUUUUGGUAAUAUUGAUUUUUCAUUUCAUUUGCUCCAAUGUGUUAUGAGCAGUGAAAAUUGACAAUUACACCUAUGUUAAGUUUGCUUCCUAGCUAGCCUCAGUGCUUCUGAGAAUUUCCUUCUGUAUGCAAAGUAAAAGAUGUAUUCAAUCCUUUUUUUAAAUAUAAAUAUACAUAAUGAUAUUAAUAAAUGUUAAUUAAAGAUAAUGUUUUGUAUAUAUUGUCAAUGCUCCAAUGUGAAGAAUUAGUAAAAUUCUUCUGCAUGCUUGUAUUAUUUUUUGACUCCGCCUAUGAAAGGCCAAUUUUAUCUAUAUUUUUAUGCCUUUUGGUAGAAAUUUGGUAAGUUAUUCUGAUGAAUAACGAAUGAGUAAAUCUUAUAUACACUGACAGUUUAUACACUAUCAUCGUUAGAUCCAUGACAUGUGUGUAAAAGUUGAAUUUCAAAUUCAAAUUUUGCAUAACUGUCAUUCAUCCAAUAUUGACAGUGUACUGUCGGUGUAGGAAAGAUUAAUCCAUAGUCAAUUGUAUCAACAAGGGUUUACUAAGUCAAUUACCUUUAUUGAUGUUGGAAAAUUUUCAAAAUUGGUCAGUUGAUGUCCAGCCCCCCGGUCUUUGGACUGGACAUUCAGCUAAACAUCACCAGAUUCUUGAAUUGAACAAAAUAUGCGAUGACCGACGCCGGUCUUUCGAUUAGACAUCACCUGAAGUCAGUCUAACGGUCAGAAAUUGAACAUAUUUGGUACCUCUUCAUGCUACAAUGGUUAGUCACCUUUUGAAUGGUGCUAGAACGUCUAGAAUGGUCUAAUAAACACUUACAAUAGUGUUUGAGAAAUCAUUUAGUUAGCCCAAUUCAAAGGAAAGAGACAUGUUUUGUAGACUAAAUAAUGUCACAAUUUGACCACUCACAAUCUCUACUAUGUAAAAGGCCUAGUAGGAGGUGGUUUGUUGCAGAAAAUCACUUGCUUGCUCUUUAAAAACUUCUGCAAAAACACACCAUUAUUCAAGUUGAUUUGUCUAACUUUGUGUAAGAAUUAAAGACAAACACCCUUCAAAAUAUGCCAAAGGAUAUUUGUUCAAGUCCUUUGCAAAUUAAAAAUCUAAACAAAUAAAGUCUAAAGGAAAGUGAUUUUGAGUUAUGAUUUAAAGCGAUUUUGUAUAAUUUCUAUUUUUAAUCAUUAGCUAUUUUUCUUGUAUUUUAUUUUUUUCCCCUAACAAUUGAGAUUAAAAAAAAGGCCUGAAAUAUUCUUCAAAAUUUUUCAAAAAAAUUUUGUGAAAACCAUGUCCAAACAGACCAAGUCUGGUGUCCAUCCUUCAAUCUUUUCAAUCUUUUGAACGAUUUUCCCUAAAUAAAACUCAGCCUUAAGGAAAUUUAGACAAAACAAACAACCAAACUAACUUUUGCAUGGAAAUCCUACGAAAAGAGAAAGUAUUGGGAGAGAAUAAACUCUCUAUAAAAUUUUAGGAGUGAGAAACUCUUAUUAGGAAAUUCUAUGAUGGAUAAUUUAUUACAGAAUUUUUUUAAAAAAAAAGAAGGACCAUUGGGAGAAGAGACCAUUGUUCUCUUCCGUGGCGCUAAGCAAAAGUUUUGAUGAACUGCCGAGAGGAAGCAGAGAGAAGGCUGAGAGAUUUUUUUUUUUCUUUUUGAUUUUAUGUUAUUAUUGCUAAUUACAUAAUAUUAUAGUGAGUUGAUAAUCUGGGAUUUGAUUAUUCCGAGACAGUUUAAACAUAUGAGCAAAGAUUAAUUGAAACAGCCAAAAAGAAUAGUACUCUAAGUUAUGGGAUUUUGACUUUCCAAAAGGAAGGGGCUCCCAAUAUGGUACAAGUUUGAUUGAUUUAUUAAAAACUAAAUGAUUGUGGAAUUGUACUUUGACGCUAAUCCCUCUUUUGCUUUCAUGAUUAGUUAAAAAUUUCAACAUUUAGACAGAUUCGUCCACGUAUACAACUAUCAAAGCUCAAUAAAAACAAAACCUCCAAUUUUGUUUGAUGUACUUAUUUUGCAUUAAUUUAUGGAUUUAAAUUAACUUUUGUUAAAAUCAAAAUCCAAGCUGCCCAAGGGAAAAUGAAUCUUUUCCAGGCUACCUUAUGUAUCUUGUGAGAAGUAGAUGAAUCAACAAUUGAAGCAAUCACAAUAAAAUAAAAUAAAAUAAAGAUGACCAAUAAUUUUGAUACAUAACACUAAACACCAAAGGUUUAAGUUGAUUUCCCACCAAAUUAUUUCCCCAAAUAACUUCCAAUAAUUUCUCUUUGUUGCACAAAUUAUUUUAAGUAAAUGUCCCACUUAAAAUCCAAUAGUCACCAAAACCAGUUUUUCAAUUAUGUUCUUAGUUGUCUUUUCUAAAUUAGAAUAUAAUAUGAAAAAAAGAUCCCACUAGCCCCUUGACAAUGACGCCAAUGUAGAAAACUCAUUUUUGGGUCAAUUAGCAUAGUGUGAACGCAUAUAAUGUCACGUAUGAUCUAACUAGCCGUAUUAUGGAGGAAGGUUCUUGGUGGGGAUGUGACUGCUUCGAUUCAAUCGCAAGAAUUAUUUAAAUAACAUAACAUGUCACACUCUGUAUUGAAUUGCAUACAAAAACUAAUCGAUGUCAAUGUGCACUAGUUAAUACACGUAAUUUGUACUUAAUUUAUCACUUAAGUGCUUAAAUUUAUAGUUAUUACUUCCUGCAAAAUAUUCAGUAGAUUGAAUUUUACGCUCCGUUGGCAAGUGAAUUUUUUGGGUGUUUAUCUAAAAUUUUACUGUAAUUUAUUGUAGAAGUUUUUAAAUUUUUUUUAAAUUAUGUAAUUUUUUUAAUAUUUUGAAGUGUAUAGCUUAAAAUUUUUUAAAAAAUUUUUGAGGUUACUGUAGUUAAAGUUUUUAAAAAAUUUAUAACAAAUAAACUUGGCAAAAAAUUCAAGUGCCAAGCAGAGCCUUAGUUUUACGAAAAAUAAACACCUGAAUCCUCUCUUGACCUGUGCAAAUUGAGAGACAAGCUCUAUAAGUAUUUAAAAUUGGGAAAUUUGCCAAAUUAGUCCCUAACAUUUAUCAAAAACACUUUUUAGUCCUUUACAUAUAAAAUCAGCCAAAAUGGUCCUUCACAUUUAAAUUGUGAGCCAAUGUGAUCCUAUUGCUCGUUUUUGCUCAUUUCUCCGGCUAAAAAUAGCACGCCUCUCUCACGUGGUCAUAUUUUUAGGGGCAAAACCGGAAACACAUUUCAUUACCUGUUAAAAGUAAAAGGUGUGGACAACCACCAAAAUACACAUUUCACCUUUGGCCCUCAAAGUUUCAAGAAACCCUAAAUUGCAUCCCACCGCCACGCCCUCAACUGACUCAGCCGCCUCCUCCCUCGCUAUCCCUUUUCCUCUCUCCACUGUCCGUCCUCCCCUCCCCCUCCUCAUCGCCAGCAUUUCUCCAACCUCCGGCAAGCUCUCUCCUUCGACGAUGAUAUUGAUGCGAGGGACUCGCAAGAUGAGGGAGAGGAUGAGGAAGAGCACCAGGAGGACGAGGAGGAGCUUCUCGAGCUGGAGCCCGAAUCGGAUCUUGCCGAGUCCGGGAAGCUGCCGAUGAGUUGUCUGUGGGAGGUGUUGAGGAGGCUCCCGCCUCCAACACUGUUGUCGGCGGCUAGGGUUUGCAAAGGAUGGAGGGACACGAGUAAGCGGCUUUGGCGGGCGGCGGAGGAGCUGAAGCUUAGGGUUCCAGCUAAGGCCCAAAUUGGAUUCGUGGGAUCGAUGUUGCACAAAUGUCCUGGACUUGUUAGACUCUCACUUAGAAUGGAAAGGUUAGGACUUUCGGAUAUAAGUAAACAAGAACCAGAUCUAUGGAUUCAUCAAGCACAUCACUUAUACAGGAGAAUUACAAAAUAAUUUUCGCCACCAUUCGGGGAUGCAAUUCAGGUUUCUUGAAACUUUGAGGGCCAAAGGUGAAAUGUGUAUUUUGGUGGUUGUCAACACCUUUUACUUUUAACAGGUAAUGAAAUGUGUUUCCGGUUUUGCCCCUAAAAAUAUGACCACGUGAGAGAGGCGUGCUAUUUUUAGCCAGAGAAAUGAGCAAAAACGAGCAAUAGGACCAUAUUGGCUCACAAUUUAAAUGUGAAGGACCAUUUUGGCUGAUUUUAUAUGUAAAGGACUAAAAAAGUGUUUUUGGUAAUUGUUAGGGACCAAUUUGGCAAAUUUCCCUUUAAAAUUUGUACUAAAUUAAAGCGGCAAAAUAAAUCGUUUGAAAAAGUUAUACUUGCUCGCACGUGCCUGGACAAAAUAAUUUUAUUGCAAUCAAAAGCAAAAAAAAAAAAAAAUGCAUCUUUUCCUUCUCGGAUGCUAGAAUAGAUUCUUGACAUGGAAUCGACUAAGAACAUUAAAAAUGCCCACAAAUGAUGGACAGAGAGGGAAAAAAAUGUCUUUAAUACGAUUUGGUGACUUUAAACUUGUUAAAAAUCAGUAAUAAAGUACCAUUAAUCAAUAACAUAAAGAUCCAAUAAAUUAUUCCCUCACACACCUAAAUUGUGCUUUUUUUUUUUUUGAUGAGUAGGUACCUGAAGUUUAUAUAUCCAUUUUCAUCUUUUAAAAGAAAUCUAAAAUGGGGGUAUUUUCUAAAACUCUUAUCAUAGAUGUAGAAAUGCAUUUAAAAGCAAUGUUUCCUUAAGGGUCUGUUUGGUUGGAAGUAAAAUGUUUUCCAUGGGAAAAUAUUUUCCGUGGAAGUAAUUUUCCAUGAAAAUCAUUUCCCUUUCAUCAUUUUCGGGUGUUUGGUUAACUUAUUGAAAAUAUUUUCUUACUUCAUUUUUCUGGUGUUUGUUUAACUUUUGAAAUAUUUUCACUUUUAUGUCUAUCCUUACUUUCUACACAUUAUAACUACAUACUUCUUCCCAUGCAAAAUAAGAAAAUUUAUCUCAUUGUUUAACUUUAAAAAAUCUUGAAGAAAUGUAUAUAUGAAUAAAAAAUAUCUCCUUAAGCAAUAAACAAAUUGCUAGCCAUUUAGUGUCAAAUAUCAAUCACAUGCAAUGCUUAUUGUGACAUAUAUCUUGCACUCUCACUGCUGAAAGUUUCUCUAGAAAAGAAUGUCCCUAUUAUACAUAAUUAAUUACUAGCAUAGGAUGAGUAGGAUGAUGUUUCUUUUUUAUUUUGAAUAUACUAGGGGGAGGGUUGGGUUGGGUGGUACGGGGGAGGGAGUGUAAGGAAGAGAUCUUGGGUUCGAGUCCUCCUGUUUACACUAAAAAAAAAAAAGAAUAUACUACAAGAUGUUUUCAGUAAGUUUGGAACAUACUACAGUCGGGAUGCAUGCAUUUCGGAAAACAACUUCAGUAAGUUUGGAAGGGAAGUUGUUUUCCAUAAGAUGAGUGAAAAUAUUUUACAUAGGAAAAUGUUUUCAGUAACUUUUGUGCAAUCAAACACGGGAAAUUAGGAAAAUAUUUUCACCCGAAACAAACGGACCCUAAAAGAUACAUUUACAUAAUGCAUUCUUUUUCAUGUGGUUAGCCAUUUACAAUUGCUCGCACAAUAAUUUACAAUCUGGACCAUUUACAAUUGCCUGUUUCUUUUUUCACACAGUUUAAGAAAAAAUAAUUAACUUUAUUGGAAAAGUAAAUUUAAAUUAGUAUUUUCCUAAAAUACCCUCACAUUAAAUGUAAUAUAACUUUAUGGGAACUUGAAUUGAUGGGAAAAAAAGAAUCAACUCUCAUUAAAUGAGAUAGGUUUAUAGUAACAACUACUUACAUUAAAUAAGGGUAUUUUAGAAAAAUUAAAAUACAACUACAUUCUUCUAUUGAAAAGUGGACUAUAAUUUGGGACAGAUGAAAAAGGAAUACAGGACUAUCAAAGUGGGACGGAGGGAGUAAUGAGUUAAUAAAAUGAUAAUAAGGCUUUGUUUGGAUAGAGUAUUAUUCUAAAUAAUUAUUUAGAAUAAUUAUUGUAACAUUUUUUAUGAUGUGAUGUAUGUGAGGUAAAAAGAUAAUUAAAACUAUAAAAAGACGAAUUGAAAAAUGUGCUUAUGAUAUACACAAAAAAAUUUUUUAAAAAAAUUGCUAUACAAACAUAGCCAAUCAUAAACGCUGGUACUGUUAUUGUAAAGGCCAUGUUCCUAAAUUGCAUAUUUAACUCGUGGUGAUUGCAGUGUUUUGAAAACCGGACCGGACCGGCCGGUUCGACCGGUCGAACCGCGAACCGGCCAUGGCUCCGGUCCGGUUCAAUGCCAGGUUUGACUUUGUCAAGAAACCGGUCAAAAACCGGUCAGACCGCGAAACCGCUGAACCGUAUCUGAACCGGUUAUUUCCGGUUUUUGAGUUUUCAAUUUUUUUUUUUUUUUUUUUUUUUUGCAAAAUGUUGUUAUUAAGAUUCGAACUCAAGACCUUUGUAAUAGAAGACCAAUGUAGUAACCGUUGCACUAUCACAUCUUAUUAGUUUUUUUUGGUAACUUAUUUAUAUAAAACAAACACUCAUAUUUCUUUUGUUCCAUUUUUUUUACAAAAUAUCAUCCUUUCAUGACUCUUUCUUUUUAAUCUUCAACACACAUACACACACACACACACUCUCUCUCUCAUCUUUUCUUUUGCCACUCAUUUUUUAAUCAAACCUCUUUAUUUUUAAUUUAUUGAUGUUUUCUUCCAUAUUUUAAUUUUGUUUUUGUUCAUUAAUUUAAAAAAGUUAAAAAAGAAUUAUUUUUCUUUAACCCAAUUUAUUUAAUACCACAACCACUCACUUUUAUCUCAUUUUUUGUUUCUUAUCAAAUUUGCAUUUCUAUUUUCAAUUCUCUUGAUUUUCUUCGAACUCCAAACUUCCUUUUUUAAAUUGUAAAUUUAAAUUCCAAAAUGUAAAUUAAAAUUUAAGUUCACAAUGUCUAAAUUCUCAUAGACAUGAAUUUUGUAUAAUUUCAAAUAUUGUGAUAUUUUUGGAUUAUAUUUAAGAUUUUUUUGGUAGAUAUAAUUGAAAUUGAGAUGAAAUUUAUUUGUUUUAACUUAUAAUUUAAAAAAUUUAUUUUAAAAAUCCAAAUUAUUCAAAAAUAGUAAACUUUUCAUCAUAUAAAGUAUUAAAUUAUCCAUUACAUGUCUUAUUUUGUGCAUAUAUAUAUUUAUAUAAAUUAUUUUUUAAAAAAUUUAUUGAACCGAGGUUGAACCGGUCCGACCGGUUGAACCUCGACCCUUUCACUUCACCGGUUCGAUUAACGGUCCGGUUUUUAAAACAUUGGGUGAUUGUUGUACCUUUUGUAUCCUGGCCAUAGGUUGCAUUGAAUCUAGUGUACAGAAGUUGAGUGCAGAGAAUCCAGCCGUACUGUGGUAAUGCCAGCAGGUCCUACAACUUCGUUGAAUAGUCAACAUUUUGUCAUUCUUGGCCCAAUCCCAAUUAUGCUUUGUAGUAUCUUACACUUUUAGCACUCCUAUUUCUUGGUAAUGCCUUUGUCCGUUGCACUUGUUCUUCUGGAGUUUCUCUUAACUGUCUAGUUUUAGGCUUUUAGCUAAGAUUAAUCUGUUCAUUUUCUCUCAAAUUCAAUCUUUGUCUCAUCCUUACUACUCGGUUUUGUGUGUUUCUCAGCUGAGUCUUGAGUCUUCUGAUCUUCUCUCACCCCCACUUGUUACUUUUCCAGCUAAGUCAGGAAAAUGUUCACAAAAACCAAAAAGGGAGAAAGAGUACUAUAUUACUUUUCCAACUUGGGCUCUCAGUCAAGUCAACUCUCAAGGAAGAAGAAAAAGCUAUUAAGUUUCCUGCAGCAUAUGUAAGCGGCUGAAAGUGCUUUUUACUUUUUUUUUUAUGCUUAAUUUUCAGAUUUCUUGAGCUCCGUGACUGCUUAUUAAAGCUAACAGAGUUUCUUGAACUAUAAUAUAGCAAUAUAGGAUAGUUUUUGUUUUCUCUGCGUUGAGAUUGAAAAAGGAUUUAGAGAUUUCUGGAUUGAAAAAUUUGCGGUGUAAUCAAGGAGUUGAUUUUUGUAUCGGUUUCUUGAUUGUUUUUGGGUUCAGGUUAUUGCUUGGCCUUCUCUUGUUGAAGGAUUGAGGGGUUGACUUGGCGUCUUUGGUGUUAUUCUGUAGUUUUUGCCCCUUUUUAGGUGGGAAACCGGAUUAUUUGAUGCUGUUGUGAGCAGGGAUUUGCUGUAGCUAUGGGAAUUGGCAACAGAUAGAAAGAAAAUCAAGUGAGGCCCAAGGGGGUUAUGGUCAUAGAAGUGUGAAUGGUUACUGAUUAAGUUUCCCCUUUAGAUCCUGCAGUUGGGUGUAUGCAGCUUGGGAGUGUACUUUAAUCAGUAUAGUGCUGAUUUACUGUGGAAAUAUUCGAGGUGUUCGGAGAAUUGUGGAGUUUGAUUACUCGUGUAAUUGCUGCAAAUUUACGCCUAUUUUUGGGUACAACUAUUGUUAGUCCUGCCUGGUUUUCAUUCCCUUUUUUGGUCAUAUUCCACUAUAAGGAUUUAUCACUUUGCACUACUGUAAUAUUGGCCGUUUAGUGUACAGUCUCAGCGGCAUGGUGUCUUCUACAUGGUGAAUUGUCUUUGGAAUGAAAAAUAUUCCCUACUUUUUGGAGAAUGAUUUUUGUAACGUGUAUGAUAUCCCCCAAAAGGAAUUAGCUAAGUAGUUAUGGAAAGUGGGAACGAACUUGUAUCUACCUUAAGCUUUGCUUCAUCUUCAUAUACAUCAAAUGGUUCCAGUAGCCACAAUAUGCCAUCUGCUGGUCAUGAGCCAGGGGCUAGUCUUGAUUUGUUGACUUUGACUAAAUUAAGUGGUAGUCUUGAGAAGCUUCUGCUUGAUGCUGAGUUCGACUACAGUGAUGCAGAGAUAGUGGUCGAAGGAACUUCUGUGGGUGUAAAUCGCUGUAUCUUGGCCUCACGAAGUCCAUUUUUCCAUGAUCUGUUUAAGAAGAGUAAUGCUGGCUCUGCAAAUGGAACUAAACCAAACUAUGUCAUGACAGAAUUGGUGCCCCGAGGAAAGAUUGGAUAUGAAACAUUCAUGGUUUUCUUGAAUUAUGUGUAUAGUGGAAAACUCAAGUCUUCUCCACCUGAGGUUUCAACAUGUGUUGAUGAGUCUUGUGCUCAUGAUGCAUGUGGCCCUGCAAUCAACUAUGCAGUGGAACUCAUGUACGCUUCUGCAACGUUUCAGAUGAAUGAACUUGUUUUGGUUGUUCAGGUGUGCUCUAAAUGCCUAUUUGGUUACAUGCUUCAUUUUCGGUUAUUCUGCUUGUUUUUGUACUAAACUUUGAUGGUUUAAUCUAGGCAAUAUGAGUGCUAUAUUCACAUUGAUGCCAACCAUUCUGAAGUCAGAAAGGUUUUGAAAUUGUAAAUGAGCUGUUAAUUCAUAAGGGAAAUACAGCACGUACUUUUGGCUUUUGAUUUCUAGUCCACUCCAGCAGGCAACCAAUCAAGGAUCAGAAAAUGAUUUUGCAAGGAUAGGGAAAACUAAAUGGAAGAACUUGUUCUGUGCUUCUAAAGUCGGAUACACUUUCAAAACUCGAUGUCAGUGAUAGAUAUUCUUUAUUGAACCUCCUUGUUAAGAACAACUCUAGAAAAUGUUUUCAACUCUGGUUUUUUAUGUCUGGAAAUUUACAAAUUAGUGCUGAACGUUGGGAAAUAUAGUAUGUGGGCAUUUUUACCCAACAACUCAUUUCCUAGUUUUUGGUUAGUUGAAACUUGCCUACAUAAAUGUAACACAUAUAUAAUCUGGUUUUAUACGGAACCAUGUUUCUGAUUUAUAUCUUGAUGCCAAUUGCUGUAAACAUGUUUCAGGGAAUUCCAAUUGCAUGAGCCAUAUUGCUCAAUUUGAAAGGGUUUAAUUUUGCCACGUAAACAUUGAGGCCGUUAUUGUCUUAACUCCAUUGGAUUACUCUUUGGCGUGCAUUUCACUUUCUUUCUCACUUCAAUUAAGUAGCCUGCAUUAAUUGAUUGUGAAGUUUUCUUGAAUUCAUCAUUCUUCAUCUUAAAGUGCUUAUUAUGGUUUCGAGCUGUAGUUUCUAUAACUAACUGUAAGAAUGUUUUCAUCUGCACCAUGUACCAGCAAGCUCUUGUAAACUUGAUGUUUAGAUAAGUUGCAUUAGCCUUUCCAAUCAAGUUUAUUCUAUGCUUUAAAUCAAGCUUGUUUCUUGCAUUACUGUAUCGACCAGUUCAUUCUUUUCAGCUUGCCUUGUUCCCAGUGUGUGUUAUGCUUUUUGUAAUAAAAAAGAUGUUCCUGAGUGCUAUCUUGCCUUUAGAAACAGGUUUCACAUCAGGUCCUUAUAAUUCUUUCUGGUGCUCAUUUCUUUUGCAUGCAGCGACGGCUUCUCACUUUGUGGAUAAGGCUUUUGUGGAAGAUGUGAUUCCCAUAACUAUAGUAGCCUUCCACUGCCAGCUGAACCAGCUUCUUUCACACAGUAUCCAGAGAAUAGCACGUUCAGAUCUAGAUGAUCUUACUCUUGAGAAGGAGCUUCCACAUGAAGUUCUGACUGAUAUCAAAUCCUUUAGGAAACAGUAUGACCAAGACCUGCAACAUGACAAUGGUGAAGUGAAUUUCAUCACUGACAAGAGAAUCAGAAGGAUACACAAAGCAUUGGACUCUGAUGAUGUAGAAUUGUUAAGAUUACUUUUGGAUGAAUCUGAUAUCACUUGGAUGCUGCUUUUGCCCUUCAUUAUGCUGCUGCCUAUUGCAAUCCUAAGGUGGUCACCGAGGUGCUCAGUCUGGGUAAUGCUAAUCUCAAUCUUAGGAAUUCUCGAGGAUACACUGUACUUCAUGUAGCAGCUAGGCGCAAGGAUCCAUCAGUAAUUGUGGGCCUACUGAGCAAGGGAGCAUGUGUCUCAGAUUCUACAGUUGAUGGACGAACAUCAAUUACUAUUUGCAGGAGGUUGACUAGGCCUAAGGAUUACAAUGAAUCAACAAAGCAGGGACAGGAGACUAAUAAAGACAAAUUAUGCAUAGAUGUCUUGGAGAGAGAAAUGCUCAGAAAUCCGCUUGCUGGUAAUAUGUCUAUGUCCUCAAUGAUGGUGGCAGAUGAUUUGGUUAUGAGGCUGCUGCUCCUCGAAAAUAGAGGUAACAUUCCCACCUACUAAAGAAGUUUUAACAUACAGUCCGUCACAUAGUUAAUAAACAUAAGUGACUUCAAGCUGAAACCAUCCUUGAGAACUUCCCAAAAAAAAAAGGCUUCUUGAAUGUGCAUCCAUUUGAUUGCAUUUGUAGAUUAUUUUCUUCAUCUUAAAGCUCUUAUGCAUCAAUGCCUGUGCUCUCGACAUUGCAUCAGCAGUUAUGAACACCAAACCUUCAGGCUGGUAAUAUGAUAUAAGAGUCAGAAAAUUCAAUUUCACUAGUGUCCACAGCCAUUUGUUGGGUCCAAUCUGUUCGGUUUCCUGGUGGAAUGGAAAUGAUAAUUAAAUACAACAUUCAUUUAGGAACACACUUCAAGCCUCAACUAAAUGUUGAGCAAAUGGCCCAGGUGUCCAGAGGAAUUUCUGGUAAACUUCUGCCCUUCUAAAAUGAGAAUAUGAAUCAGAGCAUAUUUUGAGGGGCUUUCUUGAGAUGUGGUUUCUUCUUCCUAACUGGUCAUCAAAUGUUCACUUUUCAUUUGAGAAACAUUUUGGCCCAGGUUAUGCAUCUUGUUUUUUAGACACAAAUUAAAGGAGAUAGUUCAAUUUUCUGUUGCUUUCGACUAUUCUGCGCCCGGAACAUGUACCAACUUUACAAGAGUAAUGCCUUGAGAGGUCAUCUGACAUUUAAGUGCCAAGAGAGUUCAUUGUGCUCUGAUUGUCUGUUGGAAAAACUGCUUCAGAUUGUGUCUGAAAGGAGGGAAAGUGUCCGUUCAUAAGCGAGAAAAGAUAGGAUGAAUAUGAUCCUCCUGAAGUAACAAAAAUAUACUUUUUUUCUUUAUAGAGAACUGAGUUUUACUUUUCUUUAUUUUAUCAGCUUGUCAAGAAAAGUCUGAUGAUCCAGCUACUACUUGCCAAUGCAAAGAACUUUAAUUUUGAGGGGCUUUCUUGAGAUGUGGUUUCUUCUUCCUAACUGUCAUCAAAUGUUUGCUUUUCAUUUGAGAAACAUUUUGGCCCAGGUUAUGCGUCUUGUUUUUUGACACAAAUUAAAGGAGAUAGUUCAAUUUUCUGUUGCUUUUCGACUAUUCUGCUCCCGGAACAUGUACCAACUUUACAAGAGUAAUGCCUUGAGAGGUCAUCUGACAUUUAAGUGCCAAGAGAGUUCAUUGUGCUCUGAUUGUCUGUUGGAAAAACUGCUUCAGAUUGUAUCUGAAAGGAGGGAAAGCGUCCGUUUAUAAGCGAGAAAAGAUAGGAUGAAUAUGAGCCUCCUGAAGUAACAAAAAUAUACUUUUGGUUCUUUAUAGAGAGCUGAGUUUCUUUAAUUAUCGGCUUGUCAAGAAAAGUCUGAUGAUCCGGCUACUACUUGCCAAUGCAAAGAACUUUAAUCUUGAUGAGCUGCAGAAAGUCUGUCCUCUUAAAGUUAGUCCUUUAGCUCUAAUGGAAUGUUCGAGUGACAGGCUUCUCAAAUUGAUACUCAGUUUUGUUUUGUUUCUGCAUUUGUUGUUUGUUGAUAUCCAAUAGAAUCAUAUGAGAUGAAAGGGUCCUAGUUAGAUACAUUUGUGUCAUGUUCAUUUCUUAAACAAUCUCCAACUUCCAGAAUUUGAAUGUGUGCUGAUAUUUUGGGUUUUUCCGUGCCAGUGGCCCUCGCGCGAGUAUUAUUUCCACGAGAAGCUAAGCUAGCAAUGGAAAUAGCAAAUGCACAUUCAACGUCAGAGUUUGCUGGCCUUGCAGCAUCUAAAGCCUCGUGUGGGAAUCUGAGAGAGGUUGAUUUAAAUGAGAUACCAUACGAGCAAGUAAAACGACUUCAAUUGCGGCUACAGGCCUUGCAGAAAACAGGUAAUUACAAUCUCGAGUACUCUUGGAACUUUGAAAUUAAAGUGACUGCAAGUUUGGGGGUUGCCAUUGUCAUCAACAAAGUGGAAAGGACUUAGUCGUGCAUUGAAUGAGUAAUUAAUAAAGGUCCAAGUUUGGUGAGUUGGUCUCCUAGCUUCUGAAAUUAUCUUUGUUGAGCAUUUUCUUCACUGAUGAAUAUACCCUGUGCCCCCUGCUAAUCUUGGAAUAUCCAACAGAGUAUAAUAAAAAAGCAAAAUGAACUUGCAUUUCACAUAGGAUUUUUUUUUUCUUCUUGGGUAAGCUUCCUGAACUUGUCAUUAAUAAUUAAGAGUACACCAGUGAAGGGGCAUAUCCCUUUGACUAGUACACCAAACGAAAGAGAAUUCAAAUCAGUAAGACUAAAAGCAAAGUAAGCAACUCUAUACAAAUAUAUACCUAUCAGUAUAAGAGUACAAGACUUGAAAACAGUAAAUGGAAUUCUUCACUCGUACAGAGCUGAGCAUUUUCUUGUUUCUUUCCACCUGUUUUUACCCCGCAAUAAUGUCACUUAGUUCUUUAAGAAUCUAUUGGAUAACCAAAGUAGGAGGAUAUAACUUGUUUGAAAACCUUCCUAUACCUGCUGUAGCAUACAUAGUGAACAGAUGCUGCAAAAGCUAGUCUACAGACUGAAGGCACAAAUGAAUCUUAAGAUCCACGUUUGAUCAUCCAUAGGAGCUCACGAUGCCACUCAAUAGCCUGCCUAAACAAAAGACACUUACUCGGGACAGCCUCCCAAAUCAAUGCAGAGUAAGGGCAUUAGAAAAAAAUAUGAGCAACAAUUUCAUCAGCAGCACAACAAAACUCACAGACAGGAUUUAUACGCAACCUCCACAAGCAUAAUCUGUCCUUCGUAGUUAUCAUUUUUCUACAAGCAAGCCAAAAAAUAUAUGAAAACCGCAAGUGAUGCUCCUUCCCCCAGACAACAGAGAACCAUGGCACUUUAGGACUAGAGCCACUAACUGCUUCAUAGUUGAUUUAGCAGAAUAAAUGGCACUCGCUGAUUUCACAUAGGAAUUACUAUUGCUAAAUUCCUCUUUGGUUGUCUGAAGUCAUACACAUAUCAGUAUCACACAAGGAAAAAAAAUCCUAAAGUUUUGCAUAUAUUAACUGUAAUGUACUAGAAAUUUAUAGUUUUGAAGAGAAUGGUACCCUUCAUUUGUCUGCUUACAAUAAUCCAAGAUUGCAGUGAAAUUUAAGCAAAGAAAUGAAAAGCUAUUUCACGUAUUUACUAAGAUUCUUAAGAUAGUUGGAACGCUAAACUUAAAAUUACCAAAAACCAGUAUCUACUUUGUUGAGAUUUGAAAAGAUGAUAGAUUUAAAGGUUCCAGGUGCAAGUCACUUUCCCUUUGGUUCAUGGAGCAUUGCAGGUACCAUCUAUAUAUAUAUAUAUAUCUAAUAUUGCAGUAUCUUUUGUCAUAACAGUGGAGACUGGCCGGCGCUUUUUCCCCAAUUGCUCAGAAGUUCUGGAUAGGUUCCUGGAGGAUGACAUGCAAGAAACUCUGCUCUUGGAGAAUGGUCCACUGGAGGAGCACAGUACAAAGAAGAUGCGAUACAUGGAACUUAAGGACGAGGUUUUGAAGGCUUUCGAUAAAGAUAAAGCUGAAAAUAACUGGGUGGGCUUGUCAUCGUCUUCCUCGUGCUCAUCUUCUCCCAAGGCUAUUGCUCACCACAAGGCUAAGAAAAGGCAAUUGUUUUAAAUUUUGCUCUUAGGUAGUGUUAGUCAGUGUGAAAAUGUAAUACCCCAUAAACAGUUAUAUGUAUACUUUGCCCUUAUAGAUUUUCUUUUCUUUCAUCAGUCCAAAUUUGGUUGACAGCAAGUCCAUCUGUAAAAUUUUCCCAUAGGGAGUAAGCUUACACUCCGUGUAGGUAUAUGUCCUGAUGAUUACUGACUGAACAAAGAGGUUACUGUUAUUUGUAUAGUAUUACUGCAUCAGCGGUUCUUGAGGGGUAGAAUUUUUCUUGUGAUUUAUGCUUUGAGAUACAAAAUAUUAUUACUAGCAGGGCAGGAUUUUUCAACUGUUAUAAAGCAGGAACUAAGCUGGAAAUCUGUUGCACUAAAGUUUGAGAACGUUAUGCGAGUGAAUUAGGAUCUUCUUUUCCUCCCCUAGAGUCCUGCUUGAAUUACUUGCCUUUUGUUUUUCUUUAAUUGUUCUUUCUGUAAGAAAAUCUCUUCAAAAGGACUAAUGAUACAAUGUCAGAAGCAAUUAGCAAAAGAACCACAAGAUCAGCAGCAGAAAUAUGUGGUGGUGACAGAAUACUUACAUUUCACUUUAACUAAUAAUCAAUCCUAUUUACAAACCAUGUGAUUAAAACUGCUCUGCAAAUCUUUCCGGUGUUUUGGACUGUACAUAUGAAAUCUUCUUUUCUUGAUCCAAAACGUCUUGUUUUUGGCUGGAAACUGACUAGGAGACUUUGACUUAGUAUUCAACAUUGGAUUUAACAAACUCUAGCGCAGAGGAAACCAACCCUUCAAUUCCAAGAUCAGCUGUUGUGUCCAGAACUAGCUUUGGUACCUCACCAACAUCAUAAUCCCAACACCCUGCAUAGCAUCCAAUAAGUUCUCCAUUUCCUGCCAAGUUUUGGCUUGUGCCAACUUGAUCCAUCAGCCGCGCCUCGCAGCUCAAGCCGUCUAUGCCACUCGCCUACAUCCUGUGGCUUACAUUCGACUACAACAAGCCGAGCAUUAGUCUCAGCUGCCAACUUGAUUAGCCGGUCAGGUGGGCCCUACGAGAAAGCGGCGAAUCCACGACUACACUCAGCCCCAAGCUAAGCUGAGCUGAGGCCACCUUCCAGAUAACUUCAUAGGAUAAGUCAUUUAGGAGUUUAGAUGCUGUAGUAGGAGAGGCUAACAUGAGGGUUUCUUGCAAUGAUUUUGUGCAGUCUCUGAAAUGGUCUUUGUCUAUUAAAGGGCAUCUGAGGGCCUUGGCCAGGGAAUGAGCUAGUGUACUUUUACCACUUCCUGGAUGGCCUUUCAUUGCUAUGAUAAUUGGCCUUUCUUGAUUAUCAGCAUCACCAUUCACUUUGAUCCUUUUCUCCAUUAACAGAAUCUGCUCUGCUUAUAUCCAAUUGAAGAUGGCUGAACUUGAAGGAUUUAAUGUGGAGAUGAAGAAUGAAGACAAUUCUUGUAUAAACCAAAGUUAUCAAGAUAGUUGGAAAUCUUUGUCC